GUUUGAGGGUGUUAAAGGCAGCUUCCGCUUCAUCAUGCCAUCCAAACUGCCCCUUUUUGAGAAGAUUAGUAAGAGGGCGAGCUAAGAUGCCAUAAUUCUGAACAAACUUUCUGUAGUAGCCUGUCAAGCCUAAAAAUCCACGCAACUCCGAAAUGUUAGUAGGUUGGGGCCAUGCUACCAUGGCUGCAAUUUUUUUGUUAUCUACCUUUACCCCCCGAUGCGUGACAAUAUGCCCUAAAUACUCUAGUUCUUGUUUGCCAAAGAUACAUUUACUUGUUUUGAUGAAGAACUGUUGUUGUCUCAGAAUUUCCAAAGCCUUUUUAACAUGUUCUAGAUGCAUAUCCCACAUGGGACUAUAUAUCAAGAUAUCAUCAAAGAAAACUAAAAUAAACUUCUAGAGGUAAGGCAAAAUAUAGAGUUCAUGAGGGCUUGGAAAGUUGAUGGGGUAUUACACAAGCCAAAAGGCAUAACCAAAUACUCAAAAUGGCCAUUAUGUGUUCUAAAGGCAGUUUUAGGAAUAUCGGAUGAGUGCACUCUUACCUGGUGGUACCCAGCCCUCAAAUCUAGUUUGUUGAAAUAGGAGGCACUGUGCAACUCAUCCAACAUGUCAUCCACGGUGGGAAUGAGAAAGCGGUCUUUGAUAGUGACGACAUUGAGUGCUCGAUAAUCGGUACAAAACCGCCAGCUGCCGUCCUUCUUUUUCACCAACAGUACUGGAAAUGAAAAGGGGCUGGUGCUAGGUCGUAUGAGGCCCAUCUUGAGCAUAUCCUGAAUUUGUUUCUCGAUCUCCGCCUUUUGAAAAUAGGCGUAUCUAUAUGGCCGCACAUUAAUAGGCUCGGUGCCUUCUUUGAGAGAAAUGUAAUGAUCAAUCUCUCUUACUAGUGGCAAUUGUGUAGGCUCACUAAAAAUGUCAGCAUAAUCCUCUAGAGUUUGUUGCAUGCUUUCCUGCGACAUCUCUGCCACGGUCUGUAGGCAAACUGCAAACAACAUGUGCCCUUGGCUUAUCUCCUUUGAGACUGUCUUUAAGGAAGCGACUUGGAUGGGUGGGUUGUCGGAUCCUUGCAGCCGCCUUGCUUGAUUGUCCCAUUGGAAAUCCAUGGUCAACUGUUUCUAAUUGCAAACCACCGAUCCUAACAUUUUCAACCAUUGGACGUCUAACACAAGAUCAAGGCCCGUUAAAGGACGAGAAUAGAGUGUGAGUGAAAAUAGAAUGCCUUGCAGGUUCAUUUGUACCUUCUCGAACCUUUUUUGACAUUUUAGACGUUCCCCAUUAGCCACCCGUACUGUGAAUGACUCGGUUGGUAUUACGGGUAACCGAAACAGGCUGGCCACACGAUCACUGAUAAAGUUAUGGGUCGACCCGCUACCAAUCAGCACCACGACCUCAUGGGAACCAACUUUGGCAGUCACUCGCAUGGUUCGCAGUGUAGACCAUCCCGUCAAAGCCUACAAGGACAUUUCAGAUUCUAGUUGCUCUUCGUGAUUAUCAUCCAAUGGCAGCACUUUUGUAGCUUCUUCAUAUAUGACUGAGCUGUUACUGGAUUGACCUUCCAGUAGCAACAACUGUGGCCCUUGGUACUUGUGUCCCGCCGUAAACUUCUCAUUACAAUUGAAACACAAUCCUUGUGCCCUUCGUUUCUGCAUCUCAUCCCAGGACAGCCUCCUAAUUGGUGCAAUUGGCACUGCCCGAGUCGCAGGCAGAAGGGCUAGUGGUGCACAAGCCGGUGGUGUUGGCUGCAUGAACCUCCUUUGUCAUGAGAGCUGCUCAUCCAUCAUUCACGCCAAGCUGAUGGCUUCUUUCAGUGUCUUAGGUUUGAACAUGCGAAUUCCAUCUGAUAUUUCUGGCUUCAAGCCUCCCAUGAACAUCCCCGCCAACGCUUUUUGUGUCCAUCCCCACACCCGAUUGCCAAGCUCCUUGAACUCCCUCUGGUAGUCCCGUAAGGACCCGGCUUGACUCUUGAUAAAGCUUCAUCGAAAUCCUCACAGUCAGUGGGUCCAAAACGAGCCCAUAAUUCUUCUUCAAAUACCUCCCACGUCAUCGACCGACCUUCCUCUAUGUAUGCCUGACACACCCACUACCACCCGUGGUUGGCUUCCCCCUCAAGGUGGAAGGAUGCCAAAGAGACUUUCUGGUUGUCGGUAGUGCCCUGGUAGUCAAAAAACUGGGCCACGCGAUGUUGGAUCAUCUCCCGCAUACCUCAGAAACUCCAGCUUGGCUGUCUUGGAUGAGAAGACCAGCCUUCCGCCAUUGUUGUCUUCACGGUACGUCUGGGAGGACCCUACUCGCUCGUAGUUGUGGCGACUUGGUGGCUCCUUUGUUGAAAGCACAGCUUCCAAAAGCUUGUUGAUGGUGUAAAGAUACAGAAAUUUAUCACUUUCCACCUAGUCUAGCUUGCCAAUGAUAGGUCCCAAUCAGAGUGGAAAGUGAUAAAUAGCUAAGAAAAUAAUACUCUCUUCGAUAAAAGCUAAAGCCACAAGGUUCUGAUUAAAUUUUUGCAUGCCUGCUUCAUUCAUGUUUGUGAACUAUAAAUAAGCAAAAGCCUAACAAAUUAACAACAACAAUGCUGAAACUAAAGGUUCUGGUGCAACAAAGCAGUAAACAUGCAAACAAAAUGCAAAUAAAUUUCCAACAGCUAGUGGACUUGGUCUCGCCGCAUGUGCUGUUGACAGAGUUUUCUACUCAUCCCAGUACUUGGGAUUCUUCUUUGGUGCUCUGUCCGACCUUCGUGGUCUAUCAUACUUUGACUUCAAUUAGGUUUUUCUUUAUCUUAAGUUAAAAAAAAUAAAUAAUAAUGUGUCAUCGGAACAAGGUCCGAUUUGCUAUUUUGCUAGAAGUUUGCGAAGAAAAAUAAAACUGUUAAAUUAAGGCUGCAUAUUUUUUUGAUAUUCUCAAAAAUAACUAACAAUUAAACAGAAUGUAUAUUUGUGGUCGAUGGCUAUAUUUAUGUGUGGCACAAAGAGUAAUCAUGCAGAGUUUUUAUUUUAGUAUAUAUAAUUAUCCAUCAUUCUGAAUAAAUAUCACUAACCCUGAUUAUUUUCCUGCAAAAUUCUCUAAUAAAUCGGCAUCUGGCCACUGGAAAGUGAAAACAAUUAGAAAUUCGGUUUGGAUCGGAUGACAGUCUAAACCGGAACCGUUUCGGAUCUGAACGGGGUCCAAACUAUUUACAUCCGCUUCCCGUUCCUCACCUCUCAGUUGAAAAACGGCAGCUCUCUGGAGACACCUAUGGCGGCUCGGGCGGCGCUCGCGGUGGCUUCCUCCAUCUCCCGUUCGUCCCUCCCCUCUCCGGCAGUCAAGCACGUUCCCCGUCGGGGCCUCGCCGGCGGCGGUGGUCCGUCUCUCUCCUCCUCGUCGAUCCCUUAUCUCUUAAUCACCCCCUUUAUUUAUGUCUUCUUGUUUGAUCCCUCCUCUUCUCGAUUGUUGGACAAGACUUUAUCAAUCCAGUAAACUAAUAGAUAACAAAACUAAUUCUUUUUCCUCUUCUUUUCUUGGGUAAUAUUAUCUCACCAUUGUUUACAAGGUAAAUUCUACUUACCCUGUCGAUUUAAAAUUAGAUAUUUCAAAAAAAUCUAAAUAAAAUCCAAAUAAAAUCUAAACCAGAUAAUUUUCAUAUUCGGCAGGGUUAUAUGCCUAUUAGGUUUUUAUUGUGAUAUUUUUGUAUGUUUUAAAUUUUUGCAGAUCAUCAUGGACCCCCAAGGGUUAACAUUUGGGAAGACCCGUUGAGUCCAUCUAAAUGGAAGGAAGAGCAUGUAAGCUUUGCAUUGAUAGCUCCAUACCUAUUUCACUAAAUUUUGGUUUUAAAUUUAUUAUAUGAACCACAAAAUUAUGAAAUUGCAGCCGGUUCCUUUAAGAAGUUUGAAUUUCUUAUUGAUGACACGUAAAUAUUUUGAACCUUUUCUUCUUAAGUGGAUUUUUGUGCAUAACAUAGUAAAUUUUUGAAGAUAACAUGCCAAAUCUCUGGUCAAUAUGUUCAAUAUCUUGCAUUUUGGUCAAGUGGCAUGAAGAUGUAAAUUUUUAUGUUUGUGUGCAUGCAUAUGAAUGUGUGUGUAAUUUGUAAAUAUGUGUAUAUAUAUGUUUACGAAUAUAGGAAAACAAACAUAUACAUACAUAAAAUUAUACUAAAUGGAGCCGUCAUCCAGUUGUGGUCCUGGUAAUUUGGGUGACUAGGAAUAUACCUACCUUUUUUUUGGCUCAAAGUGGCUGCCUCAGGGCUUGAACCUGCAACAUGACCCUUGUCAGCCCAAGCCUUUUACUAUUGGAUCAAACAAUAGCUACACAAAUACAAUCAUGCUAAAUACAAUUUUUUUUUUACAUAUUUUUUUUUACAUAUUUUUUUUUGAAACUUGGAAAUUAAAAAAUGUGGAAUCUGUAUGAGGUAUAAAUGAGCUGAUCUAGUACUUCCAUGCAUCUAUGUAACUGUUGGAAAUGAAUUUCUUGAUGCAUUCUAUUGAGCGUAUUGUUGACCUAAGUGGAAUUCCACAAGGAUGGGGUAAAAGUUUUGGAGUAUACCAUCAAAAAAAUUGUUUUGCAGUUUGAUCAUACUUUAGGAAGUAUUAGUUCCAAAGUGGAAAAUCUGCUGUUUUAAGUAGAAAGUUUGCCUGGAGCAGAAUAAUUUGGCUCUAUAGAUAGCUGUGCUCCAACUUCAGAGCUUAAACUUCCUUUCCUUUUGGAUGAGAUAUAUUAAGAUUUUGAGUUCAAGGAUUUAAGGUUAGAAACUUUUUUUUUCCUGUUGUCAUUCCAAUUGGUAUAUGCGACUCAAAGCAAACCUCAUAGUUCACUCUAUGUCUAAUCUGGACAUGACAUUCAAAUCAAACAAUGUGGUGUGAUGUAGGAUUGUAGCUAUAAUCUGUUUGUUUGUUUUACCUGUUUCUUCUUGUUGGCUAGAUAUUAGGCUGGGAGACGAGCUUGCUUGCAUGCCAAAUUUUAAUAUUUUUUAGUCAGAUUGUUGAGCUGGUUCUGUUCAGAACUUUCAAAAAUUUAGCCUGGGCAUACUCACUUUGCAUCUUGGUUAGCUGUGAGACAUCAAUUCGUGACUAGGCAGAUGGGACUACGCCUUAGCCUUACCUUAGCGCUAAGAAGGGGAUCUCGAGCCGCCUAUUCGAGAGAGAGGUUGAGAGACGUGAUGUGCAUGAGACCGAGCCACGCUCGCCAAGUCUCUAACAUUGAUGUCAUAUAUUUAUAAGCUUGGAUCUUUGACAAGCUAGGGGCUAUAUGGUAGGUGCCAUAAAAUGGGUUUCAUCUCUGGGCAUUGCAUUUUGCUUGGGUUAUGAUCAGCUAGCGGACAUCAGGUUGAAGAUUGAGUAGAUAUUCAAAGUUCAAACAAGAAAGUGAUUACCACCAUGAAAGCCAUAAUAUCCCAAUUAGGUUGGUGCUCCCACUUCGAAGUCUCAUUGAAAUCUCACUCCUGCAUUUCCUUGAUGCUUCUUUAUCUUCAAGUUAGAAGCUCUAUCUUGCUCCUACUCUUGUUUCCAGAUCAGGAAAAUAAGAUUAACUAUUAGAUAUUAUAUUUUUUUUCUUUUCUUUUUUUAAUGUUGGCAAGAAUUGAGGUUUGAUUUUCAGGUGGAGGAGGUUAGCGUGCCUUUUGUAGGCAUAACCUUGUGAAAGUUAUGUUCAGGCAUGGAAAUACCUGUUUUGAAGUUUAUUUUGAGCAUUGCAAUUUCCAUAAUGUAGGUUUAUGAAGUUUGGUUGCUGCAGUGCACAAUAAGUGGGUUAAAAUUUAAAAAUGAAAUUAAUAUAGGAGUUUGGGUCAUUAUAGCAAUACAAAAGUCUAGCUCAACUAAACUUGUUUUGCAAAUAAUAUGGUUAAGCUUAUAUUAGUUGCCUUUAUUUAUAUGCAGCGACCCAAAAUAACUACUACUUAAUUAUUUUGAGAGUAGUUUCGAGUAUUGGUCCAUAAUAGAUGCAGAGAUAGGAUUGGCACAUGGUUUGUCUCCUACAUUGAAACUAGGUACCUGACUAGCAUAUCAUACCAAUAACAAAGAUGCCUGUACUGGUUAAGUGCUGCUGUGCUACCGAUACUGGUAUUUGGAACCUUGAUUUGGAGAUUUUGUAAAGUACCAAGAUUUCAUCCAUUCUGCUCAAGGGUCAGAUUAUUUUUAGGUCGAUUUGAAGCUUGCGCUCACAUUAAUUAACCUUUUCUUUCCUCUCGUAGAUCUGAAAUCAAAGUUCUGAUUCGAGGAGAUAAGUUCAUAUCUGAUUUGGAAUCAAAGAUGCACCAUCCUGGCUAAUUUUAAGACUUGGAUAGAAUUAGAAAUCAUGAAGUUGGUGGUUAACUCAAAUUUUCCGCAAGGUCUUCAUUCUCAUUUCUACUAGACAGAAUUCUAUUUUUCCUGCAUGUAGAGCAGAAGUUUUGUAGACUAGGGAGUCCACUAAAGGUCCGACUUCAUUUGAAAUGCAAGGCAGGAAUGUCUGUUAAUGCUAUCUAAUUUCAUUGAACAAGAUUUGUUUCAGCUAUUCAUUUUUGCCAUUUUGUCUUUAUUUUUAGUCUUUGAUAGGUUUACUUGUUAAUCUUUGAUAGGUUUACUUUUAAGUGGUGAAGAUCUAGAGGUUUGUCAUGAGUCUGGAGAGGUUGGUAGAGUGCUUAUGCGGUAUAACUUCAUGUUUGUUUGCCACAUUAACCCAAUAAAGGACAGUGAACAAGGCCAAAGGAGAGGAAGAAAGGGGGUUGUCCAUAUUAGCCCCCUUGGGCCGAACCGGGGGGCAGAGUUUGCCCCCGGGCUGAACCAUCCGAUUAAGGCAGUAUCGAGCCGACCUGGUGUGAAACCGGGUCGGUUUGGCAAUCCUAUUAAGUUCCGGCCGGAACUGCUAUUAGACUGGCGGAAACCGGUCCUUUACCAGCCAGAAUCGGUCGGUUCGAUGCCGACUCGGUGCGAACCAGCCGGUUCGCACCGAGUCAACCUGGUUUCAAACCGAUUUGGGUAUUAUAUUAUUGCCACUGCCACCUGAUGCCUUUUAAAGGCAUCAAGUAGCGUUGGAAAGGCCCGAGAAGGCCUUUCCAACGCAAUUUGAAAGCUGCUCUGCCGCUUCCGCUUUCCAAAAAGUCCACAAAUAACACCAAUUUGGGCUAUCAGAAAGAUCCAAGAAUAAAGGUGUGCUUCCUUUUUUCCAUCUCCUUUCGUUCUUUUUUUGGAGGGUUUUAAAAAAUAGCUCAAAAAUUGCAAAAUAAGGAGAGAUCAUGCCAAAAGUUUCGAUUUGGGCUUGAUUUUGUUUAUAUGUUGUAGAUCUAUGGAUGAUGUACAUGUUGGCAUAAAAAUUUUUAAUUUUUGGGUUACAUAUAAUUUUUAAAAUUAAAAAUAUAUUUUCGGAUUAGAAAAGGAUAAAUUUUUAAAAAAUAAAUAAAAAAUAAAAAAAUUGUAAAAUUAGAAAUAUAUUUAGGGGCAUGCAAGAUACUCUCUAUAAAAAUUUGGUGUUCAUUCAUUCAAGUUUUGAUGCGAUCAUAUGCACGGUAGCCUCACUAGAUGCAAAGCAUCCAUGGUUAGGUAUGGCAUGAAAUAUUAUUAUGCAAAGUAAUAGAGGUGGAUCUUUGGUUUUGCAUUCGGACGUAACCACUAGCAGCCUUUCAUGCCAAAACUCGAGGAUGAACCAUGUGUGGUAUAAGUGAAUGAUUAAUGUGAUUCAUUAUCAGUCUGAUAGGUUUUGGUAUUGAUUGAUGAGCUUAGAAGUUGUGUCAAGAGUUUGGACUGUGGUAGGCCAGGCCUAGCACUUGUGAGGUAUAUAUUAGUCAUUUGCCAUAUAAUUGAGCUUUUAAAUUUCUCGGAACCCACAAUAGGUUAAGCAAAGAAAGAGGAGGCUGAGUUUGGUAUCUAUAUGGCCCCCUUGGGUGUCCAUAUUCCCCUCUACAAUGUCUUAUGUGGUAGAAUAUUAGUUAUUUUCCAUAUGAUUGAGCUUUUAAAUUUCCUGGGAUCCACAAGGGGCUAAUCAAAGAGAGGGGAGACAGAGUUGGGUAUCUGUGUGGCACACAUGGGUGUCCAUAUGCCCCUCUGCAGCACCCUUUCUUUUGUUAGGUGUUGAUCAUGGUUUAACUAAAAGGGAUCUUAGGCAUUAUAUUUUCAAUUUGAAAUUAAAGAUUGAAAAUAAAGAAGGUUUUUGUUCUCUUAGCCAUCCGAGAAGUCUUUCCCUCCCUAUUCUCUCUUGACAUAUUUCCCUUUUUGUUUGCUGUUAUUGUCAUUAUCCGAUAGGAUCUAAGUAGAUCUGAAUUAGAAAAAUCACUGAUUCACUAUCAUUGUUGCAAUUAACCAGCUUCAGCUGGGCCUACAUUAGUUGAUAUGGAGUCUAACCAAAGCCUUUGUCCGCUAGAUUGGGAAACAUAGAUCAUGAUUGUUGGUUGUCUAUAUUCACAAAAAGAUUAAGAAGACAAACUGGCUUUCUUCACACACAUCUGUUGAUCCACAAAUGCAUCUUGUUUCAUUUGCUUGCUGUGAAAUUAAGGAUAUGCAAGAAUUUAGAGGACAAGUUUAAAGGAAUUGGGUUGAAGUUCUACAAUCUGUACAAACAGGAACUUUCAGGGUGCCUUGGUUUUCAAUUUUAUAAAACUAUUUUUUUUUUUGUAAAACUUGAUUUUUUAUGGAAAUAGGUUUUUAUAGUGUUUUUACUAAAAUUUGUUUUCCUUAGUUUGUUGUUUGGUGGCAUAAAGUUUGUGGGGGUUUCAUAAUAGAUUGGGAAAAGGAAAAUGAGGGGACAGAUGAAGGUAGUGCAGGAAGACAAGGGGGCCAAUGGAGGAGAAGAUGAGACUAGAUGUGGGAGGGCAGAGGUGCACAAAGGAAGAGGUGAAAAUGUAGAAGGGGCAGAUGGACGAGAGGAGGAAGAGGAUAUGAUGAGGGUGUCUUCUUUCCUUGAUAUGGGAGGAUGUAAUCGAUGGGUGGGAUAUUUGGCUCCAUAGACAGUAUUAUUUGAUAUUUUAAGAAAUAACUCUUUAAAAAAAUACUUGGUACUUAGGUAUUUAGGUAUCCAUGAGAUACUUGGUUUAUCUCAAACCUAGUUUGUCAUUUUAUGAAACUUAUGAAUUGAUAAAACCAAUCAAAAUAAUGUUUUACAAAAUUUUAUGGAUGUAAAACUAGUAACCAAGCAGCAUAUUUGGAUGUAGAUGUCAGUGGGAGAGUGUUGAAUAUGCAGUGUGUAUGGCUGGCACUUGGUAAAUUUGGUGUUUGAGCACUUUUCUUUAUAGUAUAUAUGUUUUUUUUUGGUCUGAAUAUGUCUUGAUAUCAGGUUGACUCUUGCAUCUGGAAAAGGUUCAAUAUUCGACUGUUUUGUUCCUUAAAUUUUGGGCUUCAGACUCUCCUUCUCUGUCUUACCGAAUAACCUUGAUCCCAACUAUAGCGCAUAGGUGCAUUUCUACCCUUGAGUGUGAUUCUGAGCGUUCUCAUAAUUCCACAUCAUUCUUGGUUGAGUUCUAAUCAGAUGGCUGGCUAUGUGGCUUAAGCCCAUGUGUAUGUUGACUAUCUAUUGAGUGCGGGGAAAAAGAGGGAAUUAAAUACACUCCUUAUAAAUUAUAUCUUCUCCCUUUGCUCUCUUUAUCUCAGAAAAAGAGAAACAAGGAAUGUAAAUUAACUAAAGCGAAUGUUUUUUUUUAAAUUGAUUCCUUCAUAUUGCUAGCUGAUAGGGAUCGCAACCCUCCAUCAGAUGUUUCUCCUCAAUUAGUCAUGUGCAUCAGAUAUUCCUAAUUUUAGUUUUUUAAGUGAAUCUGCAGUGGUACCAUUCAUCAUUUGGCAAACAUUUAUCUCCAUAAAAGGUACCUUUUAGAACUUUGAGUAUACUCAAUGCAACCAGACUUUAUUUAUUCCCUUUUUUUGAGGAAUAUAUUUGUAACAUAAUUACAUAAAAAAAGCUGCAUACAAGGUCCGCCGAAUCGGUAUCGAAACCCGUACUGGUCGGCAGAUGGGUCGAUAUGGUACCGGUCUCCUACUGCUGGCCCACAAGACAUCGAUCAUAGGAUCAUCCUUAUUAUCAACGAAAGUACUAUGGAUCGGAUAUGUGUACUUUAGCUCCACUUCCUCCUGAAUGCACUUCAACCUUAACCUCGAUUGUAGUAAAUAUAUGCAAAACCGUUGAGGCGCUUUUGUGUCAAAUGGUUUCUCUGCUUGCUGUGGAUGAGAGCAAAGGUGGACCAAUUGCGCUUACAGCCACUCAGAAAAUCGUCUGGAAGAGAAUCUAGAUAGCUAGCCGUUUAAGAUUUUUCAUGGACAAACCCAAAUGUAUCCACCAUUCAAUUGCAAAAAGAUUGAAGAAAAUUACAUAUAAGAUAGUAUCAUAUUAGUAACUAUUUAACGCCAAAUAAAUGUCCUCCCGAUGUGUAAUAUACUUGAAUUCAUAUUUUUCUUAUUUACGAUAGGUGCUGAGACUCCAAAGCUGUCAGUGCCCUCUCUAAAUAUUUUAGUCCGUAAAAAAGAACCGUGUUAUAAUAUGUUAAUAAUUGAAGAUACAAGUUAACUUACACAUGUCACUUAAGUUAACUUAUAUCUUCUAGACGGAGGGCCAUGACUUCUGGAUCGCAUUAAAACUUGAAUAAAUAAACACCAAAUUUUGUUGGAGAGUAGCUUGCAUUCUCUUAAAUAAUUUUAUAUUUUUUUUGAAUUUUAUUUUUUUAUAUUUUUAUUUUUUAAUCCAAAAUAUAUUUUUAAUUUUUAAAAAUUAUAUAUAAUCCAAAAAUUAAAAAUUUUUAUGUCAUUAUGUAGAUCAUCCAUAAAUCUAUAACAUAUAAUAAAAUCAAGCCCAAAUAAAAAAUUUUGGCAUGAUCUUUUUCUAUUUUGUAAAUUUUGAGCUAUUUUUUCAAGCCCAAAAAAUAAAAAUAGAGGAAAUGAGAUAGGGGAGAGGAAGCACAUCUUUCUUCAAUUGCACUUUCUCAAAUUGGGGGGAAGGGGGAGCCAUUUAGGCAUCUUAAGCCUAAACGAAGUAAAGAAGGUGUUUCGGCCUUUCCAACACCUCAUUUUAACAAAAGAAGCAAAGGGGGAGGGCGCCUGGUUCUGAACUAAAUCGACUCGGUGCGAACCAGAUGGUUCGCACCGAGUUUGAACGGAAUCGGUCGGUUCUGAACGGUUUUGGCUGGUUUCAGGCCGGUUUUGGCUGGUUCCAGGCCGGUUUUGGUCGAUUUGGUCUGGUUUGGGCCUUUUCUGGUCGGUUUGGGGCCGGAACCGUUUUUAAUGUGCGAACCGACCGGGUUCCCCACUGAGUCGGCUCGGUAUGGGCCGAAUCGGGCGAUUCGGUCCGGUUCGGCCUACUUUGGCUGCAUAUGUUAGCAACCGGGAGUGUCAUAUCAUCGGGUAAGGAGGUAUCUAUGCGAGGGCUCAUUAUCACCGAAGGCUUCCUUUGUCCUCUUUUCGAGAUCAACUAAGAGGGGAGCUCGGGUGAGGGAAUUGGGGGAGGAGGGGAAUGCAACUAAGAUUUUAUUGGGCAGACGAAUCGUCCGGACUGCCCAAACUAUUCCGGUUCUUGACCAGUUUUGUAUGGCCUGAACCACCCAGUUUGGGUCGGUUCGGCUAACUUUGUUUUGUAAUGUUAUGUACUUGGAGGGAGCUUACACUUACAAUUAUCAAAUCUUAUGUAUUUUAAGCACUACUUCAUAUUGCAAUCCUACAACUGUCUUGUUUUUGUAUCCCUUCUUGGUUUUCACUGCUAUUCUAGUUGAGAUCUUGUAGAAUUUUUAUUUUCCUUUUUUUUUGUUGAGAUGAUGAGAAAUGAUUCAUGUGGCAUAUUUAUGACUUGCAGUUCGUGCUUGCUAGUUUAGCUGGCUGGUUCUUGCUAGGUUAUGGAGGAUACAAGCUUUUUGGUGGAAAGAAGGGAAAGAAGGAAGAGGUAAUUGUUAGUUUUAAAACUGUGAAAACUGUACCCUCCAUUUUCACACGUCAUGCUUGGGAAUUAUGUAUGCUUUGUAUGCUGGAUAGAGGUUAUUGUGCUUUCCUUUAAUAAUUUAGUUUUAUAUCUACUUGAAGAGGAUUCUCAUACAUCAAGUUCAAGAGCGUCUUGGAAAGAUUGCAGCAUAACAAUUAUGUGCAUAGUGAUAUUUCUGAAUAUAUGCAGAUGCUUCUCUGAUAAGUUUCACUAAGGUAAACAAUAGGGGGAGGGGACGGGGUUGGGGGUUUAGAAUGCUAACAUGUUGGGCUGGUGGUAUAUUUGGGAAGAAUUCCGUAUACAUCAUAUUCAUAUCCACUUUCAAAGCAGGUAUAAUAUACUGUAUCUUGAAGAAUUUUGAGAUCAUAACUCCAACUAAAUGAAUGGGUUCAUCGCUCUCCAUUGGUGAUUUUUUUUUUUUGAGUAAGAUAAAUUGUUUUGGCAUUUUUCAGAGGAUAACAAUUCAAGCAAUCCCAAAAUGUAAAGUCUCAGAUAUCAUCUUCUGGGGAUGUCACUAAUAAGUGAUCACCAUUUGAAUUUUUGUCAACUGUUCAAUGCCGGUGUUGGGGGUUUAGAAUGCCUGGCAUCCUAACAUGUUGGGCUGGUGGUAUAUCUGGGAAGAAUUCCAUAUACAUCAUAUUCAUAUCCACUUUCAAAGCAGGUAUGAUACCGUAUCUUGAAGAAUUUUGAGAUCAUAACUCCAACUAAAUGAAUGGGCCCAUCUCUCUCCAUUGGUGAUUUUUUUUUUUUGAGUAAGAUAAAUUGUUUUGGCGUUUUUCAGAGCAUAACAAUUCAAGCAAUUCCAAAAUGUAAAGUCUCACAUAUCAUCUUCUAGGGAUGUCACUAAUAAGUGAUCCCCAUCUGAAUUUUUUUCAGCUGUUCGAUGCCUUUUAAUCUACUAAUGCAUCUGAUGUUCUUAAUUGAUUUCAUUUUUUUUUCUGAAAUACUACUAGAUGGCACCUGUAAAUGCAUGUGUAGAAAGAAGAGAUUUGAAACCUCAGCAAUUUUAUCGAGUCUGAUGGGAUAGAUUUUGGGAAGAGAUAGAUCAGUUAAACAUGGGGGCGGUAGUUCGAUAACUAGACACAACUUUUAUAAUUUUUUUUCCCAACAACCAAUACAAAAGCUGGUCAAUGUCUUUUCUUCUUAACUCUGAUGACUAGCAACUUUGUCUAAUUGGUUGUCUGCAUGAGGUUGGUCAGAUGGGCAUGCUACUUUGGCUAACAGAGAGUCGUAAAUAUCAUAGGUUAAAAGAGUCCAUGAAUUUGCUCUCACUUCCUUGGUUGAGCCCAGAUCCAACUUGGAUAAGCCCCAUGAUAUUCUUCUAGUAUUUUCUGUCAGCGGCUUGCUAAAUUUCCCUUUGAUUCUUUUCCAUCUCAAUCAAAUGUCUCUACCAAGUGAUCUCUGCAGGUAGUGGCAGGGAGUAUGUGAGGUGUCUCAGUUUAAUCUGGGUAGUUGAAAGUUAAUUUCCCUUGUGCAUUAUCUCAUUGCAGUGUAUGACAGGAUGAAAAUGUAUUUGAGAAGAUUUUUAUAGUCCCCCCCCCUUCUUUUGUUAUUUUAAUUGCCAUUCAUUGCUAAUUCUAACCUUGGUUUACUGGUAGAUUUUCUGCAACUUUUAUAGGGUGCCUUUGGGGCUUAGCAAUUCCUGGAUUGUGUAGUUAUAAAAAAAGAGUUAAACAAAAGUCCAAUAGGGAUGUAAUAUGAUCAUCUUGUGAUAAUAUUUUUAUUCAACCGUUUCAGGAUAUCAGCUUCAUUUUUAAUUUACACCUUAUUACACAAGAAGAUAAUGAGGAAACUUAAUUCACAUUUUCGGCAAUUAUUCUUCUGGAUUGACACGAGUGGCAUGUCCAACGCACAAGCAAUUAGUUUUCUAAUAUAUCAUCAGAAUGCAUUUUGCAUAAACAGUUAAAAACUGAUUGCGAUUUUGGUAGAAAAAUUGACUGAUCCAUGGUUCCAGUGGCUCCCUUUUAGGUGGUACAAAUAUGCAUGGCACAAGCUUUAUUGUUGCUUCUCAUGCUUGAGUUUCACUUCUGUACCCUUUGCUGUAUAUGCCUUGAAAAUGAAAACUAGGAUCUUAAUUUCAAUCAAGAAAAAGAUGACUAUGAUCUUAAUUUUUUAGGUGUGAUGAGCAUUAUUUCACUUCAAAUGUGUGCUAUCAAUUGACAUCACAACAAAUCUGGCUUCCAUACUUUUAAUCAAUAUGUAUGAAAUUUUUUCCCCUCAUGGUUAUCUUAUAGAAUGUCUCAUAUCAAAUUAAUGGUUUCCUAAUCUUUCUUGUUACAGGAAGUUGGAGAAUCAGCGAAGUAGACUAGUUAUGUCUGCAGUACUGUUUUCUUUCUUCUGUGAAAGCCUGGAAAUAAAGCAUUUGCAAAGACAUGAAACCUCUUGAACGGUUACAACUUUGUUCUGUUCUAUCGAGUUUUGUGGUAGGCUGUAUAACUUGAGAGCUUUUCCUGUAAUCUCGGUGAAUACUUUGAUAUACGACAAACUCAUUGUUUUUUUGGGUUUAAUCACAUUGUGGUAAACUCCCACAACAACUCUGUUUAUUAUUUUAUCACUCCUGGGAGAUUGUUAACUUCAUUCGUUGGCAUUUCGUAGAACCUUUUCUUACUAUCAUUUCUUGUCUGAAUAAGUCAACUUUUCUUCACACAGAAAUCAAUUUUUUAUUACAUUUUGCCAGUCACUGAUUGUUAUCUACUUGAUUUCAGUGUUCUAAAUUCUUCUUCUCUAUAGGUUUAUGGCAGACUUAACUUCCAAGGCUCUUAGGUAGAAAAAAAACCAUAGCCCUUGACUGUACCCAAAACUUAUGGAAUUAUCAUUAGUUAUCUUGAAUUCUUUUAAUUGAAAUGUGUAUAAUUCCUUGCUGAUAUUUCAAGCAAUGACAGCUGGAUUGUGCUGAAUUGGGUGAUUCGAGCUAGUAUAGAAUUGGAUUGGUUGAUAAGCAGUAUGGUUCUGCUAUUUGAUUCAAUUUGGUUCCUUUUCUUUCUCUCUUUUCUUAAUUAUAAACCAUUGAGCAGUCUUUUUCGAAGCUUCUGUUUGGCUCUUGCUCUCCCUCGAUUCUUCCCUCUCUCUCAUCAUAAUCUCUCUCUCCCCCGUCUCUCUCAUUGUAAUCUCUCUCUCUCCCAGCAAUCUCUCUUUCUUGGUGAUCUACAUCGAUCGGGGUCAGUGGCGACGUUCUCUCUCUCAUUCAACAGUUUGGAUCGUCUCUUCCUUGAUCGACGUCGAUGCGGAGACCCUCUUCCUCGAUCUAGCACUCGUGCACUUGAUCGACGUCGAUGUUCAUGUCGUCGCCCUCAAUUGAUGUUGAUGUCUUUGUCACGGUACGCCUCUCUCCCUCUCUCUCCUCCCUCGUUCCCCUCUUCCUCUCCUUUCUUCGUCUUCUUUCUCUAUUUCCUAAUUCUCCUUUUAGGGUUAGAGUUUCUCUCUCCUCUCUUGUCUCGAUGUUUUGUCUUUGGUAUGCCUUAGCUCGGUAUUUAUGUUCUGAUACUGGAUUGAACUAGUUGCCAGCUAAUACCAGCCCCGAUACCGGUUCGGCGAAUCUUGAUUUCGAGUUCCAAAGGCCUAAAUUUUUCUGCUGCUUUUCAAGUAGCUCAAUCGAGUUAUUUAUAUGAUAAAAUGGAAUUAUUGAUAAAUCCUGAAACUAGGAUCUCUAAAGUGACUGGCAGAUGAUUCUUAUCUUGGUAAAUUGCACUUCCUGCAGGCAUGGCAUAGUAUUCCCAAAAUAAUAUAUAAUGUUGUUGACGGCCGGUGGCAGCCUCGAGCAAGCCCGGGGUGCCGGCAUAAAGCUCCAGGUUUGAGAGGUCUGCCAUCUUGGAAACUGAGGGGAAACAGGACCUGGGAGUUCACAAAUUCUGUGUGCUUUCACCCAUGUUGAGUUUUCUUUUGAUUUGUAUGGUUAGUUUACAAAUCCUCCUCUACGUGGAGUCUGAGAGGCAAUAAAUAAAAUAUGAUGCUUGCCUGCCUCUCUCUCUUCCAUAUCAAGCGAUCCAUAACUAGCUGGGAGGCAAUCCGUCUGGUUUUGCUUCCUUUGCCAGCAUAUACCUGGUAUAAAAAAGGCCAUAAGCAACAACAAGGAACAACUAGUUUUUACCUGGUAUAUAUAUGUCUUUACCUGUAUUUCUUUUGGAUGCUCCCCUCCUACAUAUUAUUAAAGCUUUUUUUUUGAAGUGUCCUUUCCAAUCACUUUUUGCACAUUACCAUAUGAAUCUCAGUGAUCUUCGUUGCUCAUUAGUAACAUUGAUCAACUGAUCAAUGAUGCAGCCAUGCCUUUGCAUGCUACAAUUUCUGAUCUUGUAUGAACCAGAUGAAAUUUUUAAGCUGGCCAUAAGAAUUAUUUAAAUCAUCUGCGUUUUUCACUUUGUAAGCAUAUACAACUGAGCACCUUCAUAUCACUUGGCAAUGCUCAUCUGUCAUGUUGAUUAAUUAGUCAAUUUUGCUGUUGCAUGCUGUAUGAACUUUAGCACUGUAUCCAAUUAGUAAAAUAAAUGAAUCUUUAAGUAGUUUGAUAGCUCACUCAUAAUUCUUUCUUUCUUUUUUAAAUUAUGGAGAUUUUCAUUCAAUAGAGCUUAUUUUUUUGCUGAGUUUCUUGUACAACAGAUGUGCUUCCACUUCAGGGAAAUUAAUUAAUCACCGAUUGGAAGAAUGGGCAAAAAAUUCAGGUGUCAGAUUGUUGCAAACAAAUACUUACCUUUCUGACUCUGGCAUCUGGCAUCGGAUCAGUCUUACUGCAGCCAAACAUGGUCAUGUAGUCCUUUACUGGAUAAUAAAUUUAUAAUUUUACCCAUCACCACAGCUCUAUUCACCGCAAUCAGCUUUCGAUUAUAAAUUUAUAAUUAACUCUUUUUUUUUGGAGCCAACGUCAACUAAUCAGUAUAAAUUGAAUUAUUGCUUGUUUAAAUUCUAAGUAACAAUAACCAUAAUUUUAUGUGACACUAACUGGUUUACUUGUGCCACUAUGAUGCUCUUUGUGGAAGAUGCAGUCUGUUCUUGCGUAUCAAGCAAAACUAUUGCUGUCCCAUUGUUGAUGAUCAUAUAUAAAUUCUAAUGGCUUAAGCUUUUAGGCUGAGCUGGGUUUCAAUAUGUAUAUCAAGUCCUACUGCAUUCAAUUCCCCCAUCUUCCUAACAUCCGAUCAUAUCUUUGAUAAGUCCGUUGAAACCAUGGAUUCCCGUAUCUCCUCUUCCAUCCUUUUAUUUUUCCUUGACAUCCUAUAAAUCGGUAGAAAUUGAAAAAUAUGGUAAAAUCAGGCCAAAAUUUUAUAUUUUGGCAAGUUUAGAUCUUUUUUACAACUACAUAUGAUAUAAUUUUUUAUUUUUUACAUUAUUUAUUUUUAUUAAAAUUAUAUUUUUAGAUAAAAAAUUAUAAAAAAAUAAAAUGUUAGAUUCUAACAACUAGUAUCAUGCUCAAGAACUAGCACGCUGUCUACUGGCUUUUUGAUAGCAGUUUGAUUGAUUUUGGACAUAUUAAUUGCUUUUUGCAUAAAAGCUAAGCUUUUAAGUAAUUCCUAGAUUAGUUAGGCUAUUAGUCCUUAAUAUGGCUGAUAAAACAUAUAUGACACUUCUAUCGAAGACUACAUUAGGUAGAAUUAAAAUUUAAUUUACAAAUUUUUAUACAACCUAAAUAUUAUUUUUAAUAGAAAUUUUAGUAGCAUGUAGAUAUUUCAAAUAAGUUUUUUUUGAAGCAUGCAUUAUAUUUUUCGAUAGUUAUGCAAUUUAAACACACUUUUUUGGAAAAAUUAAUAUAAAGAUAUGAAUAAAAUAAGAAAUAAAAAUUGAGAAUUAUAUAAAUAUAGUUUAGAUGUAAUUUUUGGAAAACUGUUCAAUUUUUGUAGAAUUUCUCUAAACUUUUGAGUAAUUUUAAAUUAAAAAAUUAUCUAAUCCAUAAAAAGCUAUAGAUAAUUCAUAGAUAUAUAAAACGCUGCAAGUGAUUAUGAUUUGGGUUGGCUCAUGACCCCAACCGAUCCGAUCCGCUUAAACUCAAAUCGACUUUGUGUUAAAAAAACCCGUAGGACUACAUCAGAUUUAAGAUUGGACCUGAGUUUAUUAAAUCUGGAUCCGACUCGACCUGAUGUGAUUCGUUUGAUUUUUAGAAAACUUUUUUCAAUCAUACCAUCUAACCCAAAGUCAAAACGUUGGCCCGUAAGCUGCAGGGUUGUUAAGAGUCGCGACCCCCGCCUCCGUCCGCGUGCGUCAUUUGAUUUUCGAGUAUUCUCGCGCCGAAUCUCUUGCCGCUUUUUUUUAUUUUGUUUUUAGGCAAGUAAUCUGUUACCGCUUUACCGCAAACUUCUGGCGCCAAACCUUCCCGCCAUUCCCUGCCUUCUCAUCAAUAAAAGGCUCCCCAUCGCCCCACCCUAUUUCACCACUUUUUCUCCCAUUCUCUGUCUCCAAUCUUCGCAGAGAUGGUGGUGGCUUUGGGGCCGGGGAGGUUCUACGGGAGCAGCCUCCCGCGGCCGCGGUUCUACGCCGAGGUGAAGCUGAACGAGGACCGCGUCGACCCACCGGUGCGCGUCAUGGAUCCGCUGCUCUCGUGGGCUAACGAGGCCCACUGGUCCAUGGGCGGCCUCAGCUUCAAGCGCCACCGCCUCCAGGGCCGGAUCGAGGGCUCCAUCAAGAAGCUCCGCGCCCAGCAAGAGAGAAUGCACAGAAAUUCCCCUUCCAUCGACCGAAACCCGGCGACCAAGCCAAGGUUCUCCGGCCAUAAGCCCCAGUCUCUGGCCUCGCUCCGUUCCGACUCCUCCGAAUCCGAGUCUGAGGAGGAGGUGCAGAAGAAGGCAAAGGAUGUUAGCAUCGUUUCGUCGCCGUCGAUUGGGUCCGCUCAGAAGAGGAAGAGGGUGAGGAGGCUCGGAGAUGAGUUUGAUAGGAUCGCGGAACAGCAGCAGAUGGGGAAGCAGAGUGAGGCGGUGGAAAGUGUUGCAUCGAGGACACGGAGCCGGAGGCCGGACGCGGAGGGAUUGGAACUCGGUGAGGAGCCUACCGUCGCUGGGAAAGGGAGUGUGGAGAGAAGGAAGAAGGAGGCUGAUGGCGCGAAGCCGAGAAGGACUUCUCCAAGGAAGAAGCAGCUGAUAUGAUUCCUAUGUUUCUUUCUCGUCCUUUCUCUUCCUGUCUCUGUGAUGUUUUGGAUUGAAUCAACUGCAGUUUACUUGUUUGAUGUAUUGAUGCUGAGAAAGAAUGAAUUAGUUUGAUGAGGAUCGAUUUGGUCCAAGUCCUAAAACUGAAAUUAGUUUUGCUCUCUGCUUGUUUGCUUAGUAAAAUUCUUUAAGCUUUUAUAUCUUGUGUGCAUGUGACUAGGCAAGAGGAAUUAGUUAUAUACAUCAUGAUAAAAAAUCAGAGAAGUUUAGAUGUGCAUGUUUGCAGGCUUAGGGAAUUACAUAUAUUAAAGGGACUAGAUCUGGAUUCGAAUUUUUUGGGUUGAAAAUUAGUUAUGCAUAGAUCCGGCUCAAUCUGAAUGAUAUAUUGGGUCAAAAAUUGUAGCUGUGGAUCUAUUUUGAUCCAAUCUCAUCUUUUAUUGGAUUGAAUUUGGGUCUAACAUUAGGACCCGAAUAAGGAAUCGAGUUGGAUCGGUGUUAUUCAUGAGUCGGUCCGAUCUAUUUGUACCCCUAGAUGCAUUGUAAUAAUUUAACUUUUUAACUCAGCAGAAACUAAAUAUAUUGGUCUAUAUGCACUACAAUCUAUGUUUGAGAUUUAAAUGUCUUCAGCAAAAUGUAGAUAUGUAGUAUUCAGGACCCACUCUAUAAUGACUUUGUAUGUGAUAAGGAGGUUUCUAUGUUAGGUUGGCUCGAAGGCCAACAAGCCUAACUAGAGCUUAAUACCUGAGGAUCAGCCCCUAGGCUAAGCUAGUCUCAUAGCCAAGCAAGUUGGGAUCAAUGUAGCGAACUGGGCAGAUCGACAUAUGCCACGUCCAGCCAACCAAUGGAGAAGGCUAGUUAGGGUCAUAGUCUGGUUUAGAGUUGGAGACCUUUGGUCUGAAAUUUGAUAGAGAUGUUGAGGAGAGAUCACGACACGAAGGCCAGUGAGAGCUGCAAGGCUAGCUAGAGAGGAAGAGCCAUUUAGGGUACUCUACCUAUUCGAGCCAACUAGGAAAGAAAAGAAGGUAAAUCCAUUGGAGAGUAGAUGAGGAGCCAGUUCAUAGUGAUUGUAAAACUAUCAAGCUCUCUAACAACAGAUUGCCUGAGUCAUGUAAUCAUACAAGUAAUGAUGAUGACUCUUCCAACAAUGAUGGGUUCAAUGGUCAAGUGCAGGCAAUAGACAGGGAGGGGGUGACAUGUACUUCCCUUUGCUUACUCCAUUCAUUAGGGACUCUCGAUUUGAAUAUGUGAUGCAGGAUAUGGUGCACUAGCAUAAGGCUAGGGAGGACACCAUAAUAUACAAAAGAAGGGGACUCGGAGGUUGUGGACAUUGUACUAAUCUGGCUGAUGAGGUGGUGCAUUGAGUUGGAAUCCUGGACGUACCAGUAGCAGUACCAGUAGCAGUGAUACUCAAGUCAUCAUCUAAUAUCGAAUCAUAUCAUCCAAUGUCAGGUUAUGACCUAUGUAUAUGUGCCCUCUACGUCUUCAUAUUCUAGCGGGUAUGAUCCUUCUCAACCUCAAUCAGGGUAUGGAUUAGACCUCACUCAAUCCUUUUUGAGAUUUUCGUUACUUUACCUGAGAGAGCAAUAGUAUCAACAUGGCUAUCUAGGAUAGAUAAGCUAUAGGGUGGAUACAAUACCAAGACCGGAGUCAAGUCCUAAUGUCUGACUAGGAAUAUGAUUUGGGCAUGUAUGAGGGACAUGGACAGUCCACAUGGAAUUGAACAAAUGCAUAUUUGUUGCACUUCCAAUUUUAAAACAGGUAUUUUACAUUUUUUAGUGUUAUACUUAAUCAAUUUAACAUGUGUUACAUAGUCAUACCAUUCUCUAGGCAUGUAAAUAUCCAAGGUAUCGUACUUUCUACUUUCUAGUUCCAUUUAAUUGGUGAUUGCUAAAUGGAUGGGUAACUUUUUUGGUACUUUUCUUUAUAUUAAAACAUUUUAUUUUGCUUUAUUUUUUUCUAGCAUUAUAUUUUAGAGCUACAAAAGGAUUCUAUUAAUUCUUGUUAAAAUACCAUUUAAAUGGUUGCAAAUACAAAAAAACCAUUUUAUAACUUGAGAUAAGCAAAGUCUAUGAAAAAUGAAACUUAAUUUUCUAUCAGGCUAUGGCUAUGCAUUACUUUGCCAAGCCGGUAGAUCUUAAUUUCAGAAUUCAGCAAUAUUGUCGCUGCUGUUAUUUUCUGCAUUCUCCUUGAUCCCUUUAUCUUCGUCAUCUUUGGCAUCGCUAGUAUCAGAGCUAUUGGCUGUUUCAUUUUUCUUUUCAGUAGUCUUGCUUUGAUGGUCAUCAGUGUUGCUGUUAGCCUCAGUUUGUCCUGGGUCUGAUAUGGUAUUAACAGUAACGAUUCCGUCCUGUCCUUCAGCAUCACUUUUAUUGUUGUUGAUUGAGUGAGCGAUAAUUCUUCCUUCAUCAUUGUCACUCUUAUUCUCAUCUCCAUUUUCGUGAGGGUCAUCAGACUUUUCCUGUUUACCAUCUGUGGAUGUCAUUUCCUGUUCUUCUCCCUUCUGUGCAGUUUCAUCAAGACUGUCUUCUUCAUGAUCUUGCAAGCCUUCACCACCUUCUGGAUUUUGUGUUUUUUCUUGUGAAUCAUCAGGCAUUUCUACAUUACCGGAGUUGGAAACUGAAUCCUUAUUUUUAUCAUCUAAUUCACUUUUGUCACCAGUAUCAUAUCUCACUCCUAUACCAUCAUCAUCCCGCAAGAAUUCUUUGCUUUCCAAGCUUGUGCCUGAAACCUCAUUGUCAUGAGAAUGUGCAACCGUUUCCAUGCUCUCAUGUUGCGGAAGAAGCAUCUGUUCUUUACGCUUCGAUGCAUCUCCAUCCUCCCUUCCAUCCCUUACAAUUGAAUUUCCUGUGAAUUGAGAAGUUUCAAGCAUGCUGAGCUGACUGUCACUAAAAUCUGUGUCCUUUCUGUAAACUUCCUCUUUAUUAGUAUCUGUGCUUUCUUUCUUUCUCACUUGAUUUUCAUCAUUUUGAGAGAUCUCAAAGUGCAAACUGUUAUUCUUCUCCAGUUCUUUUUCUUUAGAGACUCUCUGCCGCCUUCGGCUCUUGGUUUUGGUCCUUCGACCACGUCCAGGUCUCAUUUUAGCAUCCUCAUUUUUUCCUGCCACCAUCAGGCCUGCAGAAGUUAUUUUCUGUUCAUAUCCAUUUUGUGGAUUUUGAAGUUUUUCUGCACUCCCAUUUUCAGGGACAUGUUUUUUACCUUCUAUCUCAUCUGAGUUCUCACCAACUUUGCCAUUUCCUGCGUCUGCACUGUCAAUUUGUUUCCCAUUUGUAGAUUCCAAUGCCUGCUCUUUAACCUCCACAUUGCUUUCUUGAUCUGUUUCUUUGCUCUGUACAGAGUCUUCGCUCCUCUGAGAAACUUCAAGCCUCUCCAGCUGGUUAUCUCCUGAAACUCCUGCAGUUUGAUCAACACUACUUCCAGUUGCAUUCUUCAAGCCUUCUUCUUCUACCUUGGUUGGGAGUGUUACCCAUGUUCCCUCUUCAGGAAUAUCUUUGUGUUGGUUACUAGCUGUUUCAUUUCCAGUGUAAACUUGUUUUGCCUCUAUUAUGGUACUCUCACCUCCAGUAGUUGAACGUUCUUCCAAUUGCACAUAUUCAGAAGUCACAUUCUCUUUCUUGUAGUCUAGAACAUUGCCAUUCCUGCUGUCAAUGCUUGUUUCUGCAGCAAUAUUCUUAGAUGGCUGUAGGCUUAAAAGGUGAUGCAUCAUUUCUUCAAUUUUGGCUUCUCUCCCUUUCAAAAGUUCUGCCAGUGUUGUUAUCUGAAUAUUUGAUGCAGUGGCUUCUGCUGCCUUUUCUGUAAGUCCUUUUAUCUGGUUCUGUUUCUCCUCAAGAGCAGCGUGCAACUCUUUCUGUUUUCUUUUCAGGUAAGAGAUCGUGCUUUCUGUUUCUAUAAGCUUGUUACUAAGCUCAGCUUUUUCACUUCCUAAAGAGAUUGUCUUGGCUUUGAAGACUUCCAAUUUCUUUUUUGUUACUAUGGUGUUCUCUCUUUCUUUCUGUCCAUCAACAAGACGAGUCAAUGAUUACGAUUAAUCUAGAACUUCCAUAAGUAUAAUAAGUGAAAAUAUCAACCAAUAUAAAUACGACUGGCUCAUAAUAGCAGAAAUUUUUUAUUCUCUUUUGUUCUUCUGUAUUUGUGUGUGCAUGUGUGUGGGUGUGGGUGUGUGUGUGUGAGAGAGAGAGAGAGAGAGAGAGAUGUCUCUGGUUUAGAUGGAAAGAUAAGAAGACAUAGUUUAUUACUCAUGUUCACUUACAUCUUUUGUUUGGUAACCAAACUAGUUGCAUGAGCUUUCCCAGCAGGUUGAACAACUAGCUAGCAAUAUCCGAAUCAUGGUCAUUAUCCAUUUCAUAUUAUGAUUUGCAGUUGUUUAAUGACAAUCUGUAGCCAUGAACUUUCCUUUAUUUAUGAAUGAACUGGUCCUUGUGCCUGUAGCUAUGAAGUCUAUAUCUAGUAUAACCAUGCUUGUUCUAAUAACUAUAUAAUUAUGAUGAACCGAUUGUUCUUAUUGCAAAUGUAUGUGUGCAUCUGCAUUCCAUAAGUUAGUGAAUGCCUGGGGAUUCUGGAUGGAUGUGAUUUGGUGUGUUCCUUCAUGCAUUCUAUUUGGGAACAUAGACACCAAAACCAUGUUAUAAAGAGAUCAUAAUGUUCCCAAGUGUCAUUUGAGAUGCACAUUUUCUCAUGCAACCACUUGCGCUAAUUGGUUGCUGACAAUUAUUGUUGAUGGACCAUAUAGUUUACAUAGUAGUUUUGCAUGUUAUGCACUCAUGCAAACAUCAAGAUUUGUGAUUUUGUGUCAGCAAGAUUUAUGAACUUUGAUGUGCAUUGCUAUUGUUUAAAUGAGUGUGGAUCCAUCAAUGUAUCUGCUUACAUUUUAUCGAGACAUUGAAUGCAGAUGAAGCCUCUUAAUGUAGGCCUUUUCAUACUCUCAAUUUGCCACUUUCUUUUUCUGGUCUUUUCUUAAUCGAACCAGUGAUUUGAGACUAUUGUAUGUCAACAUUCAUGAAUGCAUCUUUUACAAGAAGACUAAUGAAGAUUAGAAAGAAUAGACAAGGGACUUUAUGACUCUCUAAGGUUUGACAGGUGCAUUGCAUGGGACAGGAAACAGGUAAUCUCCCAAGCGGAGCUUCGAGAAUGCCAUUUGGGAAUUUGCUUUAUAGUAGAAUAGAUGUGCAAAAAGUUAGCUUUUCAGUGUUGAAAGACUGAGUGGUUACUAAUAUGUGUCCAUUCUUUUGACUGGUCACUAAUUAUGUUUCCAUUCUUUUGAUGUAAGAAGAUCAUAGUUUAUAUAUACUUAGGCUAAAUAAUUGAUUAUUCUGGUUGUAAGUUUUCCAGUGUUAGAGACUUCAAAAAAAAAAAAGACAAAUAUUUCAGAGUGAACAUAUGUAAUCUGAAGCAAGCAAUAAAUUAAUGUUAUGGGUAGAAAAUGACCUUUCACUGUGUUUUGACUUAAAUGACGUGUCGGAUUCCUUAUGUCAUAAUGCAAUUAUAAAAUACACUUUGGUUUAAUAAAGUCCUCUACAAGAUAACCCCAACCCCCUUUGUGGAGGUGGGAUUUGUCCUUGAAUAGAAGUACCAAACAUUUUACCAGCUUACCUGAAACCAGGUUCCUAAUAUAACGUUAUAAAGAAUUUAUGACUGGAAUUAUAUUUUUUAACAUUUUUAUUGUCAUUACCAAUAACCAUAAUUUUGCCAAUGCAUAAGUUUGUGAAUUCAAUUUUUAAAUUUUCUCUUUGUGACAGGAAUUAUGUUUUUAGCAUUUUUAUUGUAAUUACUGGUAACUAUAAUUUUGGCAAUGCAUAAGUUUCUAAAUUCCAUUCUUAAAUUUUCUCUUUCUUAUUGGUGCAAUUUUCUGAAAUAUUUUUCUAAGCAGUUUUUCUUUUGUAAUCAAUCUAAUUCUAUCAAUCCUUAAUAUUGAUUCCAGUCUUGUUAUUUUCUGUAUUUUUCUUUGAUGUAAUAACAAAUAGUUUUUGUCACUAAAACCUGAAAAAUCAAAAAUGGCAUCGGAUUCUCUAAUUCAUAAUGCAAUUAUGAGAUAUUCUUAGAUUUUGACAGAGCACAGUCUUGAUUAAGCCUGUCACCGCCAAGUUCCUAGUAUAACACUAAAACCUGAGAGAACCUAAGGAGAACAAGUUUAUUUUUGGCAUAAAUGUGCUGGUAGAAAUCCAAUGCCAAGAUAUUGGACUAUGAUGAAGAAUUGCAUGCAUAUUUUGAAUGUUAAAUGUUAAUAUAUGUUAACAAUCUAAUUGAGAGUGCAAGUAGUACUGAUUUUAAAGUCAUUGGUGGUUGGUACCAGUGGCCUGGUUUGACUUCCUUUCGCACCAGACUCUGGAUUUCUGAUGCAAAUAAUUCAAGUUGACCCGAUCUGUUUUAUAAACUCAGGAUCAGAUCUAGAAAAGAUGCCAGUCAACUCUACUCCCCAAUGCUUUCAAAUUACUUAGAGUGGAAUCAGAAUGCAAACAAUGAUCAUAAUUUAUUAUCUCUUAAGAUCCAUUGUAGCAGGAACAAGAUCAUAUUCUCUUUCAUAUGAAAUUGUAAGACUGAAAUUUGGAAUUGCCAAUCGUCAUUUUCAGUGUCUUCUGCGACACUCCGAUCAGCUUUAAGAACAAUGAGACUAAAGUGACAGCACCUGAUGCAAUCUUAUUCCCCAGUCUGAUCAAGUUGUACAUCUCAGCUAUUCCAAAUUUUGAUUAGUAUUCAUAUUUUUAAACAAAACUAAACGCAAGUUUGAAGUCAUGAUCUGAAACAUGAAGUGUCGUUUACAGUAGUACAUUUUCAAAUGAGAUUAUGACAGACCGAGAAAAAUUGGUGAUUGUUAUAAGAUCAAAUCACAGUCAUGAUGAUAUAUUUUUUUUCCUUUUGGUGGGGAUGUCAGUACCUGCAGGAUGAGCUCAAGAGCAAGCAGCUGUUGAUCUCGGUCUUGGAGGAGGAGGCUGAAGACACGCCUCUCCCUCAUCUUGUGGAGCAGAACAACGCUGAGCAAAGCUGCACAAAGCGCCAGCAGCAGCAGCAGCAUUCCAUAUGGCCUCUUCCUGUAGUUGCCAGCCAUCUUGUUGGUCUUGAACCUGGACUUGGAUUCCAAUCUCAUAACCCCUUCCCUUCCCUCCCUUUCCAAUCUUUUCUCUAAAUAUAAAGGAGGGUGAUUUUUGUUUGCUUUGAAACUAGAACAGGAGUUCUUUCACCUAGGAUGGAGGAAGGUCCAAGAGGUGGAAAGAUAGGCUGUUAUUGGGGGAUAUGAUUUGGCCACCUAUUGCUUACAUACAAUUAUAAAUAUUGGUCAAUGGGGGCUCUCUCUUAAUUGUUGUCUACUGACUGCUAGUGAGGUGAUUAAGGUAAUUACAUGCAACGUUUUUCCAAUGUGGGUAGAUCUUGAAAGUUUAACUACCGAACCAAUUUAUUUAUUUUUUAGAGGAUCUCCCAAAUAUAUGGUGUUGGCUUUUCGCAAUCCAUGUUUGCCAAGUCUUUUUAUUUAGGACUAUUGCUGAUGUUAUGUCAAGCAUUUUUCCAUAUAUCUUUCCACAAUCUCAGUUUAUGUCAUAUUAGAUCUUUCUGUCUUCUAAUACUUUUUUUUUAUAAAAAAAUUGGACAUGAGCUAAUAACACCGAUUUAUUGAUUCUCCAUCACUUUAUGCUCGUAACUUCGCCCACUUUCUAGGGCACGUACCUCAUUUUUCAAUCUAUUCUUUUUAAAUUUUACUACAAAUCUAUUUUACUACUUAUAUUUCUGCUACAAUUAACUUGUCUUCUUGACUCUUUCUAUAGUCUAUUAUGGACCUAAAAAUUGUAGUUGAGCAUGUUAAGUAUUAUAUUAGUAGGCUAUAAAAAUAUAAGAUGGUAAGCUCAUAUACUGUCACUCUACAUCUGUGGAUCAGAACAACUAGAAUAGAGAACCAAGAAACCUUAGAAGUGGUAGGAAAGGUUUGUAGAAGUUAUAAUUUAGGAAUAUAGUCUUUGAUAGAAGAUGAUGAUAUAAAAAUAAGGCUAAUUGAACCAUGGUUACGCGAUAAAUGAACCAUGAAGAACUGAAUAAAUCACACUUUUUGUAUCCAAUGAUUUUGGAACAUCAGAACUUGAUAAUGCAUACAUAUAUGUAUGCAUGCACGUAUAUUUGCCCUUGAUUACUGAUUUUAAAUAAAAAAUAAAGGCACUAACGACCAUUUGACUUUUUCUAAGAUUAGGAGGUGCUAAUCCCUAUCUUCUACUCUAUACCUACUCUACAUUUUGAGAGCGACACAAAGUAGAAUCGAACCUCUACCCCUUUACCCAAGUAGCAAGGGGUGAUACGGCCUAAAAAUGGGGCAUGUCUAUUUGACAUGUUAUUAACUACUAUUUAGAUGUUGAUGUUUAAGUGCGAGAAAGGGUCGAUCACUAGAACUCCCUUAAUGUAUGGUGCAAAUUAUGAAAGAUUGGAUUAGAAGAGUGAAAACCAAAAGCCCCAAUUCUUCACAUUCUAUUUGUAUCAUUAUAUUUUCACUCUAGAUAAUACUAAUGACAACCUUCAAUGACUUGCUUUAGAUAAAAAAUCUGACAGAAGAUAUUGAAAUGGACCACAGUUAAUGUUCAAGGCAUGAUUGAAUCAGACGAUUUAGACCGAGUUUUGAGUAACUCGGCGAGCUAGCCAAGAUUGAUCCUGAAUUUGAGUUUUAUACAAGUCGAGUCUCUUAUAGGAUCGGCUCGAAAACUUAUUGAGCUGAGUUGAAUUGAUACGGCCAAGUUUUAACUCGACUAGUCAGUUUCGAGUCAUUUGAAUAAGUUUAUAAUUCACAGCACCGGCCUAAUGUAUUUGGGGGCCUAAACCCGUUUUAUCUUUGAGGAUUUUCCUGCAGUGAGCCGGUCUAAGGCGAACUUACAGGGGGCCUUUUUUUUCAUUUUGUCUUUGAAAUCUUUUCUAUGGUAGGUCUUCUUUGGGCUGGGGCCUUAGAAUACCGUCUCAAUCGCCUAAGGGUUGGGCUGGCCCUAUUUAUAAAUCAUGAUCAAAACUAAUGUGAGCUGCUAUUCGUCUGAAUGCUAUCAUCAACUCAAACAAAUGCUUCAGAAGAAUUCACAACCUCUUGCAUAUGCAUCAAGUUAGGGCUCAAACUUCAAAGCAGAGUGUGGAAGGGCAAAUUGAUGCCGCCCAAAUAACAUGCGCGUAGUUGUUUUAAAAGGAAAGCUUUGCGUUUAUUAAGGCGCAAGUGUGUCCCAAAUCCCAAAAGUCAGAUGCUUAGAAAUCCGAACACCAAGCCAAUUAUCUAAAGAUAAAAAAAACCAGACCAAGAAAGAGGAAAGAGAUGGGGGGCGGCUUGUGGCCGCUCCUUCAUUGGUCUCCCUAGCUCUGUUUUGGGUCCUCAACUUUAAGACUUAGCACGUUAGAUGGCAAUAGAAUAUGUGUAUGUUAUUUGGCUCCACAUUGGCUAUACGUGCAUACGAAUCUCUGUUUCUGCUAUAUUAAUUUGAUGGAAAAUGGUAAGCACUAUUCUAUAAAGUAUAUGAUUGGAAAAAAAAAUUCCACAUUGUUUCGAGGAAGUUUUAGGGUGAGAGAUUGUUUCAAUGCAUCGUCGUUGGUCUGCUAGUUUUCCAAAAUAUUCCUAAUGACAUGUAAUAUGUGAGUUAUUUUAAGAUGAAAAAUUUUCAUGCCUAAUGUCUUAAUUUUUGACUAUAAUUAAAGAAAUCAUACUUAGGGUAGAUGUAUUGGACUUAAAGGGAUAGAUACCCAUAUCUAUCUGGUUUAAAUGCAUAAAAAGUUUUGACUUGAAUCCUUACAUGAAAUAAAUUGACUAUGUCCAACUAACAUUGAAGGGCUGAAUCAUGCAUAAGUUCAUGUAUGAACUGAACCUUUUUUUUAAAAAAAAUAGAGUUUUAUUUUUUUGUAAAAAAAGGAAAGUGGCAUUAUGGAGAGUUCAUGAAAUAGAUUCAUUUAGUAUUUCAUAAAACUCUGAUAUCACAAUAAUAUCCAGUCCAGUCAUGUUAGGCUGAUCAAAUACCCAUUCUUUACAAAUAUAACAUUCAAAGAAAAAUCCCUUCGUAUAUUAUUUCCACCAAAAGCAAGGAACAAUCCAUGAACUUUCUUAUUAAAAUUAGUGAGGUCUUUACACAAGUAGUGUUUUGUUAUUACCUUUUCACCUUUUUCUUCCUUCUCUAAUCUUCAAUAUUAGUGACUGAUGGGGCCUUCAGUUGAUGAUUAAAGGAGGAAGUUGCAUACCAAAUAUAUAGUUAAGAGAUUUUUUCUAUUGACAUGACUUAUUAUAGUAUGAUCUUGGGUCUGGCAUUGACAUCAUUUAUUGAUAACUAGAUGACGCACAUGAUCUGGCUCGAGUUCCACACUGUCCACCAAAUCUCCAAACCUUCAUGAGUUGACGAUCAAUAUGUUGACCCGAAAAGGCUGGGUUGCAAGCGUGGCUCCCAUAAUCUCCGUUACGUAUAUUGUUGAAAGACGAGGCCUCGUCCUGAGUCUUUAUGAAUCCAAUCUCUCUCUCUCUCCCCCCCCUACCUAACGACUCAUCUCUCUUUGUCAAUAAAAAUAUAAAGAAAGAUCAUAUAUUUGUUUAGAAUUUUCAAAAAAAAAGUAAGUAGCUUUUUCAUAGAAAUAAAAUUCUAUAUUUUAAUAAAAAAAUCAUAUGUAAUAUGAAAAAGUCCAAUUCCUACUGGCUGAGAUUGAGAUUUUUUUUUGUGCAAAAUUAUCUUUAAACUUUUAGAUAGAAUAUCGUAAUAUUUUUACCCUUAUAAAAAUAUAACAGGUAUUUUACAUAAUUUUUUUAAAAAAGUAAAUAUUCAACCAAAUAUAAUCUUUAAAUGUGUAAUUUUUUUAUGGUCAAUCAGACAUGCAAAAAUCACUUUUUCAGAUAUCAUAUAUCUUAGCAUCAGCUUCUUAGAAAAAAUAUUUUAGUAAAAAAAAUUUUCUCGUAAAUCAAAAGUUUGUUUAACAGUAAUUUUGUUUUGAAAAGGGGGUGGUUUUUUAUUCCCAACGCUUCCAGGAUUUUUAAAGUAACGAUUCAUUCAUUUGCCAGACGCUUUGAGGGGGGCAUGGGAGAAAAUUUCCACGUUGAUCUUGGAAAUAGAUCCAUAAAGAAUACAAUGGCUCUUGGAUAUUAACCGCAAAGGGCUUCGGCGCGUUCUUCUUUUACUUCCAAGUUAUUCAAAGAGUUUGUGAAUUUUGGCAUAAAAAUCCAUUUAAUUGUCAAUUUUUCAGAAAGUUAGAUUUUUAUAACAACACCUCCUCAUGAUAUUCUUGUGAAGUACAAGGCAAAUCAACAUAUAUCUAUUAAAUACCUAAUACACGUAUUUUUAAUAUUUUUUAUAUAGUUUAAAUUAUUGUAUGUCUCAUUCUUAGAUCCAAGGUAAAGAUCGUUGAAGGAUCUCUAAAUAUGUAUUCAUCACAAGAAAAAAAAAACUAAUUUUUUAUUUUGCCUUUUAGUGCAAAAUUCAUAAAAAAAAAUUAAUCCUAGCCAUUCAUUAUCUGAAAAUAGAGAAUUUGCAAGUCCACCUAGCUUUAAAGAACUCACAUUUUCAACAAACCGUGCUUAAGACUACGGGUGCAAAUGGGUCAGGUCGGGUUGAAUCGCAUUAUGAGUGACUCUAACCCAAUCCAAUUCCUUGUUUGGAUUCUAAUGUUAGAUCCAAACCCAACCUAAUAGAAGAUUGGGUUGGGUCCAUGGUUACAUUUUUUGACCCAACAGAUCAUUCGGGUCGGAUCCAAUUCAUAUAUAACCCAGUUCUAACCGAAAAAAUUCGAAUCUGGGACAGGUCCGGCUUGGGUCCGAGUUGCUGCUCUCUCUUCAAACUGCCCCCUAUUCUCUAAACUAACAAUAGAACCCCAGAAUGACUUGCUAUUCUUAUUUUGCAUCUUCCUCUUCCAAAUUACAAUGGAUGCUUCAAUCCAGUUUUUAAGCUCAACAACCUUGUGUUUUGUCGAUGUCACGCCCCGAACCCAGCACCCGGGUCCGGUACGCGACCGGCCGCAUGAGCUCUAGAGCAGUGCCCUAAAGAUCAUGCAAGGCCUAUGACUAACAAAAAUUCCAAUAAAUCUAUAAUUUAUCUAGUAAUUCAAAUAGAGCAGUCCGACAUGUCCAAAUAAACAAAUUAGUUCAACUACAAGAUCUUCAAAUGUUCAUCGACAUCAAAGAAGGAUAAAUAAACUAACUAGCUAAUGACUCUGAUACUUGCACUCUANNNNNNNNNNNNNNNNNNNNNNNNNNNNNNNNNNNNNNNNNNNNNNNNNNNNNNNNNNNNNNNNNNNNNNNNNNNNNNNNNNNNNNNNNNNNNNNNNNNNNNNNNNNNNNNNNNNNNNNNNNNNNNNNNNNNNNNNNNNNNNNNNNNNNNNNNNNNNNNNNNNNNNNNNNNNNNNNNNNNNNNNNNNNNNNNNNNNNNNNNNNNNNNNNNNNNNNNNNNNNNNNNNNNNNNNNNNNNNNNNNNNNNNNNNNNNNNNNNNNNNNNNNNNNNNNNNNNNNNNNNNNNNNNNNNNNNNNNNNNNNNNNNNNNNNNNNNNNNNNNNNNNNNNNNNNNNNNNNNNNNNNNNNNNNNNNNNNNNNNNNNNNNNNNNNNNNNNNNNNNNNNNNNNNNNNNNNNNNNNNNNNNNNNNNNNNNNNNNNNNNNNNNNNNNNNNNNNNNNNNNNNNNNNNNNNNNNNNNNNNNNNNNNNNNNNNNNNNNNNNNNNNNNNNNNNNNNNNNNNNNNNNNNNNNNNNNNNNNNNNNNNNNNNNNNNNNNNNNNNNNNNNNNNNNNNNNNNNNNNNNNNNCCCGGUCACGUUUCCGGCCCGUGACGGGGCAAUCGAUAGUAUCACAUUUCCGGCCUGUGACGGGGCAAUCAAUGAUAUCACAUUUGCAGCCUGUGAUGGGGCAAUCGAUAGUAUCACAUUUCCAGCCUGUGACGGGGCAAUCGAUAAUAUCACAUUUCCAGCCCGUGAUGGGGCAAUCAAAAAUAACGAGAUAAGCCCAAAGUCCCUGUUCAUUUAAUCAAUUCACAAACACACAUCCAUUCCCUUUUCCACUUUAUUUCCGGUCUAGACUAACCAUGGUCACGUUUCCGGCCCGUGACAUGGCAAUCAAUAUAACAUGGUUAGUCCAUACCACCACAUCCAUAAAUUCAAUUAUGCAGGUAUAAGUUAUACACAUACAUGUAUCCAUCAUACUACCAAUCACAAGCCAACACGAUCAAAAUAUAAUUUAAUAUAAAACUAUUUUUUUGAUUUGUCUGGAUCAUAGCAUAUCAUACAUAUCUAAGCAUAAAAAAUAUUAUAUCAUGCAGGAUUGGCGUACAAGGAUCCUUACCCUUUGUUGAAAGCUCAGACAACCAGUCAUCCGCCCUCACGACGAUCUAUAAACCGGAAUGCGCAGGACUCUGCUCAGCGUCCUCUCGUCCAAAAGAUUGUUCCCCUACAGAAUCAAGUCAUCAUUAAAAUUUAUCAAAGAUAUAUGAUAAUCUAGGACCCCUGUUUGAUUCCUCUAAAGGGUCCUCUAAGAUCUAACAUCCCAGGACUUCCUAGAUUCCACAAAGCAAUGCUCUCCCCAGAUCCAUGUGUAGAGAGAGAGAACCCAAUUAGAGAGAGAGAGAGAGGAAUAUAAGAAGAAGGGNNNNNNNNNNNNNNNNNNNNNNNNNNNNNNNNNNNNNNNNNNNNNNNNNNNNNNNNNNNNNNNNNNNNNNNNNNNNNNNNNNNNNNNNNNNNNNNNNNNNNNNNNNNNNNNNNNNNNNNNNNNNNNNNNNNNNNNNNNNNNNNNNNNNNNNNUCUCCGGCGAGUUCCUCCGGCAAGAUCGGCGGCGAACAACCCAAGUUUCUCACAGAUCCCUUUUUUUUUCUUUCUUUUUCUUUUGAACGUCGCCCGGUUGAUGCCCUAGGAUGAGGAGAAAGGGAUCUUUUAUAGAUAGAGAAUGAUGCAAAUUAGGUAGGAUUUGAUCUCCCUUUUCCUCUGUUUUUUUUUUUCCUUUCUCUUCCGGUGGCUUCGGGAAGCAAAUGAAACAAGGGAGGGAAGACUCUCUUCGGGAGUCUCCCUCCCGUUUCAUGUGUCGAACCGGCCCAGGCCUCCCCCCAAAAAUGUGGGUCCUCACAUUCUCCCCUCCUAAAAAAAAAUUUCGUCCUCGAAAUUUAUACACCUGAGUUUUCGAAUAACUACAGAUACUUGACCUUCAUCUCUUCUUCGAGCUCCCAAGUAGCCUCUCUUUCCAUAUGAUUGUUUCAUUGUACCUUCAUAAAAGGAAUGGUUCGAUGCCGUAGCACCUGAUCUUUUCUAUCCAUAAUUCGUGUUGGAAACUCCUCAUAGGUCAAAUCCUCAUGUAGAUGUAAUGGCUCAUAUGCUACCACAUGGCUCGGGUCUGCGAUGUAUUUCUUCAACAUAAAAUACAUUGUGCACACUAGAUAAAGUCAGUGGUAAAGCCAGUCGAUAUGCCACAUCUCCAACCUUGUCCACAAUCUCAAACGGACCAACAUACUUAGAGCUCAAUUUAAUGGGUGAUACUCUCCAGAAAACAUGAUUUCCCAAUUUAAAAUUUCAGUUCUCUCCUUCUAUUAUCAACAUAACUCUUUUGACGACUCUGAGCUGUAUGAAGUCGUUCUCUGAUCACUUGCACCUUAUCUAUGGUCUGUUGCACUAUCUCUGGGCCUAAUGAUUUUCUCUUACCCACAUCAUCCCAACAAAUAUAAGAUUCAUAUUAAAAUAUUCCACGUCUAAGACCAACCAAGGAAUCAUCAACCGUUAACGCUAAAUUUAAGAUGCCCAAGAUUCUUCCAAAAGUUGUCAACAAUAGAAGAACCAACCGGUGAAAAUUACAUAGCUACCUCUAGAUCAUCCAUAGAAUCAACAACAUUCUCCUCUACUAGAAACUAACUCAAGUGUUCCAUCAUAAUACCUUUUAGAUCAAAUAUUAAUGUCCUUAGCCAGUUUCAAAAUAACUUAAACUACCACACUUCCGCUGCGCACUCUGAUUUAAUUCAUUAAAUACUCUAAAGCCUCUAAAUGAUUUAUGACCGAAAUAUCACUUUGUACUAGGAGUAAGAAAAAUCCAAAUUUUAGAACUUUAAUUGAGCAGAACCUCCAGAUCUCUCUGUCCUCAAUUUAUAUAGAGUAUACUAACCAUAACUAACCUUCAAGGCAUUAAUCAAGUUUAACGUCACUACAUGAUCUUCACAACCAUUUUAGAAUCCAAAAUAUCUAGGUUUAAUUUAAAAUAAGUUAACCUUGGAUUUUCUCAGCAAUUCGAUUAGACAUUCUACGUUGAUCUUCUUUCCAAAAGAUUUACUUCAAAUUCAAUGGGUUAGAAGUCAUUGUGCCAAUACACUAUGAUUAGAAAUUAACUCUAUCGAUCUCCAGAUCUUUCUUCACCAAGAUUCUUAACAUUCAUCAGCAAUGCUAUAUAUGAUAAUUCAUAUAAACAUCUCAUGUCCGAGGUCUCUACUCAAUAUGACAUUUAUUAGUGGCUUCACCAAUAAUGAUAAAAAAAAUCCCUGCUCAAAUCUUAAACCUAGGCUUGAGUUUUAAAUUAACACAUCAAAUAGUCUUCUACAAUUAUAAGUAAAAUCCAGUAGCCCAAUCCAAACAUGAGAAUUCAAAUAAUUAGAAUUCCCUCAUCCAUAUGCAUACUCUAUGGCCUCAAAAUAAUCAAAUACAUUAAUAGAAAAUAAACCUAUUUGCAAUAUUUAACAUGCCAAUACCAGAUAUAAUCUACAUACAUUUUCAACUUCGAAGAACAUUCCUUUCAAUAUUAUGAAAUCUCCUUAGCUCACUACUAUAGAAGAUCUACGUACAAAUCUCACUCUAAUAAUUAGCAGCAAAACCAAAAGUACGAUCACAUCAAAACCUAUAUCAAGUUUGAACUUUCAGGUCAUUUAAAUAAUAUCUGAACAUGGUAUAACCGAUAUGCCAUUGUUGACCUUUCUACAGUUAUCUUAGGUCAAACCUCUCUUAUCAUGAUCAAAGACAAUUUAUACUUUCCUUCCACACUCAUCGAAAACCAAAUCCGAUGCAUACAUUUUAUCACAAUGCCCAGUGAUCUUAAACAUAUGCUCAGAUUCCAAUUUUGUCACUAUCCCCAAUGAUCUUAAACCUCAAACUCUAAUGCCACUAAGGCCACAGUCCCUAGUGGUCUUAAACCUUAGAUUACAUUAUCAUUCUUGUUACAAUCUCAGAUGAUUAUAAACCAAGGCUCUGAUAGUUUUUCUAUCAUAAUUCCCCACUCACACUCACCUGAACCUAAACCCUAGGAUACCUUAACCUUAAGCUCUGAUACCACUCUGUCACGCCCCGAACCCAGCACCCGGGUCCGGUACGCGACCGGCCGCAUGAGCUCUAGAGCAGUGCCCUAAAGAUCAUGCAAGGCCUAUGACUAACAAAAAUUCCAAUAAAUCUAUAAUUUAUCUAGUAAUUCAAAUAGAGCNNNNNNNNNNNNNNNNNNNNNNNNNNNNNNNNNNNNNNNNNNNNNNNNNNNNNNNNNNNNNNNNNNNNNNNNNNNNNNNNNNNNNNNNNNNNNNNNNNNNNNNNNNNNNNNNNNNNNNNNNNNNNNNNNNNNNNNNNNNNNNNNNNNNNNNNNNNNNNNNNNNNNNNNNNNNNNNNNNNNNNNNNNNNNNNNNNNNNNNNNNNNNNNNNNNNNNNNNNNNNNNNNNNNNNNNNNNNNNNNNNNNNNNNNNNNNNNNNNNNNNNNNNNNNNNNNNNNNNNNNNNNNNNNNNNNNNNNNNNNNNNNNNNNNNNNNNNNNNNNNNNNNNNNNNNNNNNNNNNNNNNNNNNNNNNNNNNNNNNNNNNNNNNNNNNNNNNNNNNNNNNNNNNNNNNNNNNNNNNNNNNNNNNNNNNNNNNNNNNNNNNNNNNNNNNNNNNNNNNNNNNNNNNNNNNNNNNNNNNNNNNNNNNNNNNNNNNNNNNNNNNNNNNNNNNNNNNNNNNNNNNNNNNNNNNNNNNNNNNNNNNNNNNNNNNNNNNNNNNNNNNNNNNNNNNNNNNNNNNNNNNNNNNNNNNNNNNNNNNNNNNNNNNNNNNNNNNNNNNNNNNNNNNNNNNNNNNNNNNNNNNNNNNNNNNNNNNNNNNNNNNNNNNNNNNNNNNNNNNNNNNNNNNNNNNNNNNNNNNNNNNNNNNNNNGUUGAAAGCUCAGGCAACCAACCACCCGCCCUCACGACGAUCUAUAAACCGGAAUGCGCAGGACUCUGCUCAGCGUCCUCUCGUCCAAAAGAUUAUUCCCCUACAGAAUCAAGUCAUCAUUAAAAUUUAUCAAAGAUAUAUGAUAAUCUAGGACCCCUGUUUGAUUCCUCUAAAGUGUCCUCUAAGAUCUAACAUCCCAGGACUUCCUAGAAUCCACAAAGCAAUGCUCUCCCCAGAUCCAUGUGUAGAGAGAGAGAACCCAAUUAGAGAGAGAGAGGGAAAUAUGAUAAGAAGGGAAAGGGAAGAGAAGCCCCAAAUAAAACUCUUUCUCUCUCUCUUCUUCAUUCUUCCCGACGGUAAGGGGGAGGUGCUCGGCAGCAGGCGGCCCACGGCCGGCGAUGCCCCAUGGUCGUCGGCCCAUGGCGGUGCCGGCAUGCCGGUGGUGUGCCACGACCGGUGACGGCCGGCCAGAACGAGAGAGGAGAAGGCCGAACAAAGCAUCGGCUUCUCCAUCAACCUGGCGGCUUCCCGGCCUCAUUCCCCAAAGAGAUAAGGGCCAGAGACGAUGGAGGAGGAGGAGAAGAUGCUCACCUUGCCUCCGGCGAGGUCUUCCCGACCGGAUCGAUGACGAACAUCCCGAUCCCUCCCGCGGCAAGGUAGAACUCCAAUCUCCCUUUUUUUUUGUGCGUGUGUGGAAACCCCUCGGCUGAUACCCUAGGAAGAGAAGGGAGGCGAUCCUCGCCCGAUAUGGUAGGGUUUAUCGCCCUCUAACCUCCCCUCCGAUGGAUUCGGAAGGAGGGGAGAAGGGUUUGAAAAAAAAACGGGGGAGGGAGCCAAUCGGGAGUCUCCCUCCCCCCUUUCUCAUGUGUUGGGCUGCCUUACUUGGAGGCCAGCCCAACCACAUGCGGGCCUUUACAUUCUCCCCCCCUAAAAAAAAAUUUUGUCCUCGAAAUUGUCAUACCUGAGGUUUCAAAAAGCUGCGGAUACUUGACUAUCAUCUCUUCUUCGAGCUUCCAAGUAGUCUCUCUUUCUGUUUGAUUAUUCCAUUGUACCUUCACAAAAGGAAUGGUUCGAUGUCGUAGUACCUGAUCUUUUCUGUCCACAAUUCGUACCGGAAACUCCUCAUAGGUCAAAUCCUCCUGAAGAUGUAAUGGCUCAUAUGCUACCACAUGACUCGGAUCUGGGACAUAUUUCUUCAACAUUGACACAUGAAAAACAUUGUGCACACUGGAUAAAGCCGGUGGUAAAGCUAGUCGAUACGCUAUCUCCCCAACCUUGUCCAAAAUCUCAAACGGACCAACAUACCUAGGGCUCAAUUUGCCACGAACCCCAAAUCUCAACACACCUUUUGUAGGUGACACUCUCAAGAAAACGUGAUCUCCAAUUUGAAAUUCCAGUUCUCUCCUUCUAUUAUCAGCAUAACUCUUUUGGCGACUCUGAGCUGUACGGAGUCAUUCUCUGAUUACUUGCACCUUAUCAACAGUCUGUUGUACUAUCUUUGGGCCUAAUAAUUUUCUCUCGCCCACGUCAUCCCAACAAAUAGGAGAUCGGCACUUUCGGCCGUACAACGCCUCAAAAGGAGCCAUUUGUAUACUUGCUUGAUAGCUAUUAUUGUAAGCAAACUCUACUAGUGAUAAGUGGCCAUCCCACGCUCCUCCUAGAUCCAUGACACAGGCUCUCAAUNNNNNNNNNNNNNNNNNNNNNNNNNNNNNNNNNNNNNNNNNNNNNNNNNNNNNNNNNNNNNNNNNNNNNNNNNNNNNNNNNNNNNNNNNNNNNNNNNNNNNNNNNNNNNNNNNNNNNNNNNNNNNNNNNNNNNNNNNNNNNNNNNNNNNNNNNNNNNNNNNNNNNNNNNNNNNNNNNNNNNNNNNNNNNNNNNNNNNNNNNNNNNNNNNNNNNNNNNNNNNNNNNNNNNNNNNNNNNNNNNNNNNNNNNNNNNNNNNNNNNNNNNNNNNNNNNNNNNNNNNNNNNNNNNNNNNNNNNNNNNNNNNNNNNNNNNNNNNNNNNNNNNNNNNNNNNNNNNNNNNNNNNNNNUGCUUCAUCUUUAUGAACUAAGAACAUGACCCAUGUGUAUCUAGAAAAAUUAUCUACAAUGAUAAGGCCAUACUUGUUUCCACCAAGACUUGUGGUUCUAGUUGGUCCAAAUAGAUCCAUGUGUAGUAGUUCAAGGGGUCUAGUAGUAGUGACACAAUUUAUGGAUUUAAAAGAGCUCCUAGAUUGUUUGUCAUAUUGACAUGCCUCACAAAUUUUAUUUUUCUCAAAUUUUAGUUUUGGCAAACCUAUUACAGAAUCUCUUUUAACUAGUUUUGAUAUUGUAUCCAUACUUGCAUGACCUAACUUACGGUGCCAUAACCAACUUGCAUCAUUAACCUUAGUAUCACUAGCUACUAAGCAAAGGUUAUUUUUGACAAGAUCUUCAAGAUCUACUACGUACACAUUGCCACGUCUUAUUCCUUUGAAUACUAAGCUAUUGUCAAUUGAGUUGGUUAUGAUGCAUAGAGUUGGCUUAAACAGAACAUCAAAACCUCUUUUACAUAAUUGACUAAUGCUAAGUAAGUUAUGCUUAAGACCAUCUAUAAAUCGUACAUUAUCAAUAAAGGUUGAAGAGGUGAUUUGUACUUUACCUAUACCAACGAUGUGACCUUGGCUAUUGUCUCCAAAGAUCACUGCACCUCCCUUUUUAGGCUCUAGGGUGAAGAAUUGCUCCUUGUCACCCGUCAUGUGUCUUGAGCAGCCACUAUCCAAGUACCAACAGUUUUUGUCGACCUUGGCUGCAAGACACUCCUACACAAGAAAAUCAUACAAUUUUAUGUACCCAUGUUUUCUUGGAUCCUUCAUGGUUAGUAAUGUUGGUUCCUUUUGGAAUCCAAAUCUUUUUAAUAUUUCUCUUAUCUUUUGUCUUUCUAUGGUCACACACAUUAACUUUAUGUCCUACUUUUCCACAGCAAAAAUAGGUUAUAUUUUUAGUUUUACUUUCCCUAGCUUUUACAAAAAAGUUUUUAAGAAACUUUUGCUUAUUCUUAGGCUUAUACCCUAAACCAGCUCUAUUAAACACAGCUCUUUGACUAUUAAGAAUCAUCUCCAAUUUUUCUGAACUAUACGUAAACUUUUCUACAAUAGGUUUGUAUUUGUCAAGUUCUUUUGUUAAGUUCAGUUUUUCUGUUUUUAGUAAGCUUAAGUCUUUUGUAAGAUUAUCUUUCAUAGUUUGAUUACUGUUUUUAUAUUCUGAAAUCUCUUCAGUUAAUCUUUCUUUGUCUUUAAUUAAGGUACAGAUCUUUUGAGUUAAUAGAUGAUUACUUGUUUUAAGUUCCAAGUUUUCUUUAAUAAUGGAGUCCUUUUCCUUAAUUAUACUAUCAUUUUUAUGACUAUACGAUUUAUUAGUCACCCUCAAAUCUUUGUUUUUAAGAGUUAAGGAUUUAUACUCAUCCAUUAGUUCAUUGAAGGCAUCAUACAAUUCAUCAAACGUAAACUCUAAACUGAGUUUCAGAUGUUACCUCAUUAUCAUUUUUCAUGAAGCAAAAAUUAGCUUUUUCCUCUUGUUCCUCAUCCGAUGAUGAUGAUGAUGAAUCAGAGUCUGUCAAAGUGGAGACGAGGACUUUCUUUUUCUUGUAUUUGCUGCCCUUCUUCAGCAAGGGACAGUCAACUCUGAAAUAUCCCGGCUUCUUGCAUUCAUAGCAUCCGAUUCCCUCAUUUUUCCUUUUCUUACAUUUAUCCUUGUUGUAGGAACUUGAGGAACCUCUCUUCUGAUGAAAGGACUUCUUCCGGUUGAUGAAUCUUCUGAACUUUCGCACGAGAAGAGCCUCUUCAUCAUCUCCCUCAUUAUCUUCUUCUUCGCUGCUGCUACUGCAAGAUAGAUUCUUGUUAGAAGAAGUAGAUUUGAGGGCUAUUACCUUUUUCUUAUGAGAGGAUUCUUCUUCGCUGUAUUGUUUCAUUGUGAGCUCAUACGNNNNNNNNNNNNNNNNNNNNNNNNNNNNNNNNNNNNNNNNNNNNNNNNNNNNNNNNNNNNNNNNNNNNNNNNNNNNNNNNNNNNNNNNNNNNNNNNNNNNNNNNNNNNNNNNNNNNNNNNNNNNNNNNNNNNNNNNNNNNNNNNNNNNNNNNNNNNNNNNNNNNNNNNNNNNNNNNNNNNNNNNNNNNNNNNNNNNNNNNNNNNNNNNNNNNNNNNNNNNNNNNNNNNNNNNNNNNNNNNNNNNNNNNNNNNNNNNNNNNAAGGCUUUUUAGGCCAUUGACAAUAUCAGUAAAUCUAGUAAACAUGCAAGUGAUAGUUUCUUUAGAUUCCAUCUUAAAUAGUUCAUACUUAUGUACUAGUAUGUUUAUCUUAGAUUCCUUUACUUGAUUCGUGCUCUCGUGGGUCACUUCAAGUUUGUCCCAUAUCUCUUUUGCAGAAUUGCAAGUAGAGAUUUUAUUGAAUUCAUUAUGGUCUAAGGCACAAUAAAGCAUAUUCAUUGCUUUGGUGGAGGCCUAUUGGUGGAUUGGCCCUCACUAAGAGAAGAUCCAAAAGGGGUUGUCAUUUUGAUCUUUUACUCUUUUAAUAUAAGAGCUCCGGCUCUGAUACCACUUGUUGCCCAAGAAGACAACCCAAGAGGGGGGAGGGGGUGAAUUGGAUUUUAAGUAAUAAUUGCAAAUUAAAACUUAAUGAGUAACUAAUUAAGAUUAUUGCAGGCAGAUUAAUUAGAUUACUAGUUGUAGUGAGUGGAGAGGAUGGAAGAGACAGUGAACCAAUUACAAAUACAGGAGAUUUUAUAGUGGUUCGGAGCUAACCCUUGCUCCUACGUCCACUCACCAAGCUUCACUUGGGAGUUCACUAUAAUCCCUAGGAUUACAGCCGGUUGUUUUACAAGUUCACAACCCAACUUGUUGUUUUCACGAGAUCCCAACGAACUCGGUUGGUUUUCACAGGCUCACCGACUAGAACCACCCGAUUGUUUUUCCGGGAUCACAAUCGAACCCUUACACCGUUGGUUUUAACCUUGGCUCACCAACAAACCUUACAACCCUUGAUUCAAUCUCCUGAUUGAAUCAAGUAAGAACAUAGUUUGGGAAAAGUUACAAGGAAAGCUUCUUAAUAAGCAAAUAUUAAACAAUAUGAAAAGAGAAGAGUUAGAAGCCCUCAAACAAAUUUUGAAAGAGGAAGAAGGGGUUUCUCGAACUCUGAGUCUCCUCUUUGAAUGCGCUAAAGAUUUGAUGUCAGAAGGAGAGCCUUGAAUGCGAAGGAAAGAGUUUGUUGGAUGGAGUUCAAUGCGCUUCUUCCUUCUUUUUCUUGUAUUUACUCUUGAGAGCCUUUUGUAGGUGAAAAUCCCUUUUUGUUUGAAUGGAAUAGCUCUCUUAAUGUCUACUACUGUUCACUUUGGCUAUUUAAGCAGUUCUCUUUGAAAACUAGCCGUUAGACACUAAUUUGUGGCCGUUCUGCACAAUCUGCAACUUCUGACAAUGUAUCCAUUGGGGUCGGAGUCGACUCGCUCGAUCUGGAGUCGACUUGGCUGUUGCUGGAGUCGACUCAUGCUUCACUGGAGACGACUCGCCCACUGUUCAGAAUUUGAAUUAAAGUGCUGUCCCAUUCUAGAGUCGACUAGGCCAAACCUGGAAUCGACUCGCCAGUAUCCGGAGAUGACUCGGCCCUCUGGAGACGACUCGUUCUCAGAGUUCCGGAGAUCUAUUUUUCUGCAUUUCUUUCUCGAGUCGACUCGGAUCAUCUUGGAGUCGACUCGGCUCUCAGAGCUUGAAAACUGAUCCUCUGUCUUUGGAGUUGAACUGCCUUGGAGUCGACUCGGAUUAUCUUGGAGUCGACUCGGCUCUCAGAGCCCGAAAACUGAUCCUUUAUCUUUGGAGUUGAACUGCCUCGGAGUCGACUCGGAUCGUCUUGGAGUCGACUCGACUGACUUGGGUCGACUCUCAUAUUCUCGGAGUCGACUCAUUCACAGAGUCACUUUGUUUGAUUUUCUGCCUUUCAAUCUGCUUUCCUCUGAGAGUCGACUCUUGCUUGUUUAGGAAUCGACUCGCCAAACGUUGGAGUCGACUCGAAUUCUUCUGGAGUCGACUCGGUAACAGGGUCCAGAAAAUACUUCUCUGUCUUUCUGUCUGUUACUCCUUGGAGUCGACUCGAAACUGUCGGGAGUCGACUUGGUAAGCAUCGGAGUCGACUCGAAACCGUUGGAGUCGACUCGGUGACAGGGUCUGAGAUUCAUCUUUCUGUCCUUCUGUCUGUUCUCAGUCGGAGUCGACUCGUAGUGUACCGGAGUCGACUCGAGCAUGUGCCAGAACCUCUGAAACACUUAGAGUCGACUCGAAAUCUUCCGGAGUCGACUCGAGCUUCAAACUUUGGCUUAAGUGAGUUCAAUACUUAGCUAAUUGACUUUGAACCAAGGCUCGAUGCUCUUAAACAUAAAUUCACAGAUAUUUGCCUGAAACACUAGUUUGAAUUCAUUAGUAUAACAUAAGAUAUACUCAAAUGCUUUGAGCUCAUCAAAAUCAAAUAGGGUUAUAAUCAAUCACUCCACACAAUGCUUUUUCUUUUCAUUCUAUAUUAACUUAAUCCAGAUCAAUUAUCUUUCCGACUUUGGGUCAAAUCUCGGUCACAUUUCUCAGCCUGUGGUGGAGCAACCAAAUUAUCACAUUUUCAUCCUGUGGCAGGGCCUGCACAUUAUAGUUCCACAUUUCUAGCCUGUGAUGGGGCCUGCCAAAGUAUCACAUUUUCAGCCUGUGGCGGGGCCUGCACAUUAUAGUUCCACAUUUCUAACCUGUGAGGGGGCCUGCCAAAGUAUCACAUUUUUAGCCUGUGGCGGGGCCUGCAUAUUAUAGUUCCACAUUUUUAGCCUGUGAGGGAGGCUACCAAAGUACCACAAUUUUAGCCUGUGAUGGGGCAUGCCAUAAUAACAAGAUAAACCCAAAGUCUCUUUUCAUACAAUCCAGUUUACAUCCACACAUCAAAUUUUUUUUUAUUUAUUUCCGGCUUUAAACUAACCACGGUCACGUUUCCAGCCCGUGACGGGGCAACCAAUAUCACAUGGUUAGUUUAGAGCACCACAUCCAUAGUCAAAUUAUGUAGGUGUAGGUUAUGCGCAUGCAUGCAUCCAUCAUGAUACCAACCACAAGCGAAUACAAUCAUAAUAUCAACCACAAGCCAACACGAUCAAAAUAUAAUUUAAUAUAAAACUAUUUUUGAUUUGUCUGGAUCAUAGCAUAUCAUACAUAUCUAAGUAUAAAAAUAUUAUAUCAUGCAGGAUUGGCGUACAAGAAUCCUUACCCUUUGUUGAAAGCUCAAACAACCAGUCACCUGCCCUCACAGCAAUCUAUAAACCGGAAUGCACAGGACUCUGCUCAGCGUCCUCUCGUCCAAAAGAUUGUUCUCCUACAGAAUCAAGUCAUCAUUAAAAUUUAUCAAAGAUAUAUGAUAAUCUAGGACCCCUGUUUGAUUCCUCUAAAGGGUCCUCUAAGAUNNNNNNNNNNNNNNNNNNNNNNNNNNNNNNNNNNNNNNNNNNNNNNNNNNNNNNNNNNNNNNNNNNNNNNNNNNNNNNNNNNNNNNNNNNNNNNNNNNNNNNNNNNNNNNNNNNNNNNNNNNNNNNNNNNNNNNNNNNNNNNNNNNNNNNNNNNNNNNNNNNNNNNNNNNNNNNNNNNNNNNNNNNNNNNNNNNNNNNNNNNNNNNNNNNNNNNNNNNNNNNNNNNNNNNNNNNNNNNNNNNNNNNNNNNNNNNNNNNNNNNNNNNNNNNNNNNNNNNNNNNNNNNNNNNGGCAUCGGCUUCUCCAUCAACCCGGCGGCUUCCCGACCUCAUUCCCCAAAGUGAUAAGGGCCAAAGACGAUGGAGGAGGAGGAGAAGAUGCUCAUCUUGCCUCCGGCGAGGUCCUCCCGACCGGAUCGACGGCAAACAGCCCGAUCCCUCCCGCGACAAGGUAGAACUCCAAUCUCCCUUCUCCUUUUUUUUUGUGCGUAUGUGGAAACCUCUCGGCUGAUACCCUAGGAAGAGAAGGGAGGCGAUCCUCACCCAAUAUGGUAGGGUUUAUCACCCUCUAACCUCCCCUCCGAUGGAUUCGGAAGGAGGGGAGAAGGGUUUGAAAAAAAACAGGGGAGGGAGCCAAUCGGGAGUCUCCCUCCCCCCUUUCUCAUGUGUUGGGCCGCCUUACUUGGAGGCCGGCCCAACCACAUGCGAGCCUUUACAGUUUGUCAUGCCCCGAGCCCAGAGCGCAACAGACGCCGCACGCCAGCAUGGCGGACUGUAUAGGCAUACAAAGUUGUAGAUCAUAUCAAAACAAUGACAAAUUUCUAAAUUUUCUUUUUCUUUAAUCAAUAAUUUGUCUCAAAGUAAUCUUCCAAAGUUUCAAAAUAAUAUGUGACAGUAUAAAUCAAUUAUUCUAACUAGUCUAACUAAAAUACCAAUAAUCGAAUAAAAUCUUCAGAAUCUAUGCACUCUCUAAUCUCGUGUGAUCAUAUCUCCGGAUUUGAAAAAUAAAGAAAACAAGAUAAUGAGCUAUACACCCUAGAGUGGGGUCAAAGCAUAUUAUAUGAUUAAUCAAAAUAUAAAAUAAUAAUUAAAAAUUAAAUCACAAAUAAGUAUAUUUUUUUUUGAAAUUUAUUAAGUUGUUUCAUAAAACUCUAAUACUGAAGUCUCAACAUAAAUCGGCUAAGGCCACGUAACCUAGUGGCAUGGGUUGCACAAAGUGCCAAAUCUACUAUUAUUAACUACCGGUGGCAACGGUGUCUAAAUUUACUAUUAUUAAUCACAUGUGGCAAAGGCGUCCAAAUCCACUAUUCUAAUCACCGGUGGCACGGUGUCGAAACUAAUUUCUCACAGAUGCAAGUCGACAGGGCCAACGAAUAAUUUUCAUUAGCGGAGCCAGAAUAGAUUAUAGCCAUGCUGAGAAUACAUACAUGUAUACAAAAUAAAUUUUUCAUAAUUUGCCCAGUCACAUUUUAUCGACUUCAUAGUAUAAAACAUAAUUUUCGAAUGGUAUUCAACAUGUCUGUCCCAUUUUACUAAGUACAAAACAUAUCUCAUAAUUUAAUCAACUAAUAAUUAUUUUACUAAAUAAUUUAGAAAAUACACUUUGAAGCACUAAGUUGCUUUGUUUUGCUUUAAAUCCCACUUCAUGCAAACAUGUCAGAUACACAUGUUUAAUAUCAUUAAAAUAUUAUUAAUUUUAACAUAAUUUUAGAAGUCAAAAGUAAAUACUAUGGUCUCAUGCCUCCAGAUCAGUUCUGUCCGAGCAAGAAGGAUUCAACGAGUCAGAGGUGAAGAUCGAAAGUGGCCAAAUCUGGGGCUAAAGUAAUGGCUGGUCAACCGCCCGAGUACCGGGGCAGUUUGGGGUUUUCAAAUUGGGUCAACUUAGAUCCGAGCUACAAGAAGGACAAGGCUUACACUAGGCUUCUCGAGCUUGUCUAGAGGGAGAAAAUGAGGAGAGAGAAUCUCAACUCGGGUUUAGAUUUGGUCUGAUCCUGGUUUUAGGCUUGGUCCGAUUGUUUUGGAUUGACCAUCAAAGGAAAGGUCUCGAUCUAGUCAGAACGUGGGCUUGCUCAGAGAGAGAAAGAGAUACACAAUCUAAGGCUAUUUGAGUUUUUGGGUUUGAUCCACUUAGUUAGGUCCAAUCAGAGGCUUGACCUAUUUAGUCCGAUUUGACCAAAAUUGAAAAAGAAAUAUUUGGCCUAGGUCAACCUGAAUCAAUUAAUGUAUCUGGUUCAUAAUGAACGGACUCGGCCUAUAAUGCACGAAUAGGGCCCAACAAGGCCUAAAAGCAAUACGGCCAAAAAUAGAUGAGCAGGGCCCAAAAUAAAUGACUACGGCUCAAAAUGAACAUGGCUCAUAAUAGACGAACAAGACCCAAAUAUGGCUCAGAACGGAUGAACAGGCCCACAACGGAUGAGCAGGCCCACAAUGGGUGAACAGGCCCACAAUGGUUGAACGAGCCCAUAGUGGAUCAACGGGCCCACAACGGAUGAACGGGCCCACAAUGGGUGAACGUGCUCACGAUAGAUGAAUGACCUAUAAUGGGUGAACAGGCCCAUAAUAGAUGAGCAGGCCCACAACGGUUGAAUAGGCCCAUAAUGAACAAACAUGGCCCAAUAGGGCCCACAAUGGACACGAUCGAACAGGGUGAACAGGAUAGGUCCACAAUGGGCACGGCCUAAUAGGGCCCAAAAUGUCUGAAGGAGGGAGGACUUGGAGGAAGAGGGAGGGUCUCAGCGGUGCUCUCAGAGAGACGAGGGAGGUCUUUAUAGAGGGUUUCUGAGGGGCGGUCGGCCCGUUCACCGCCGCCAUUCGCGCAGCAGCAGGAUCGACUACCGUUCAACCGGCCUCGGGGCAGCCGCAGAACGGCCACGGGGUGGCUGCGGCGUUGCCGGCCGUUACGCCCUGAUGAAGAUGGAGCAGAGGAUCGCGAUCCUGUGUUCCACUUUUCCUUUGGGCCAAGGGCAGGAGUCGGCUAGGUCGGCACGUGGCCGCGGCGUUGCCAGCCGUUACGCCCUGAUGAAGAUGGAGCAGAGGAUCGCGAUCCUCUGUUCCACAUUUCCUUUGGCUCAAGGGCUGGAGUCGGCCAGGCCUGCCGACUGGCCUAGCCGACUCCAGCCCAUUCAGGCCUUAGUCUCACACGUUUACAGUUUUAUUAAAAAUAGAAACCUAGUGCCUUCUUCCGGGAAAAGGAAACCAGUCAACGGAACCCCAAAGCCGCACUUCAAUAUCACUGUUCACAAUUUAUAGGAUGUUGACCGUUAUACACUUUAAUAAAUCGAAUAAAUUUAAAUCUAAAUUUAUUAUCCUUUUUUUUCUUUUGUAAGAACUUGACCAGUCGAAGUCUUUCGAGCUGUUUAAUCCUCGUUCAUAGAAUAGACGGUGUGAUUAGUCACGUAGCCGUGGAAGACAAGUCAGGCAUGACCUUGGCAUCUAUUUAAGUUGUCUUCUGCUCAGCUCUUCCAUGUCUCACCUGUUAGUCCAAAGUAGAGCAGCCACGGCCUUCCUCUUCUUCUUCAAGACGUUCCACCUCUGUCCUCUUCUCCCCCAGUAUAGGAGCCAUGAGCCAUCCUCUGCUCUUUCCUUUCCUAUUUAUCUUCUUUAGCUCUCUCAACAUCCCUCGCACUUUUGCAGCGAAUUCCAUCUCUACGAACCAUCCUCUCUCUGGAAACCAGUCCAUAAUGUCUCAAGGUGGCAACUUCGUGCUAGGCUUCUUCCAACCUGGUAACAAAUCCAACCACAACUACUACAUAGGCAUCUGGUUCAAGAAGGUCUCACAGCUCACUCAAGUUUGGGUAGCAAACAGGGAAACACCCAUCUCUGACCCAACCUCAUCAGAGCUCAGAAUCUCUGAUGAUGGCAAUCUGGUCCUCCUCAACCAGUUCAAGAAGCAAGUCUGGUCUACAAACCUUACCUCCAUAGCUUCAAACUCUACGACUGCUGUGAUCCUGGACUCUGGAAACCUUGUUCUUAGAGAUGACUCUGACCCAUCCAAAGUCUUCUGGCAGAGCUGUGACCACCCAACGGACACAUUGUUACCUGGGUGCAAGUUUGGAAUGAACAAGGUGACUGGAGAGAGGCAGCAACUCACCUCCUGGAAGAGUUCUGAUGACCCUGCUCCUGGGAUCUUCUCUCAUGGGAUAGACCCCCGUGGUUCUAGCCAGUACUUCAUAGUAUGGAACGGAACCAGGCAGUAUUGGAGCAGUGGAUAUUGGAAUGGACAUAUCUUCACUGCUAUUCCCGAGAUGUCAUCAAAUUAUCUCUACAAAUUUGGGUACUUCUCCAAUGCAACAGAGAAUUACUUCAUCUACUUCCCUGAUAAGAGGAUCACAAGACACGUUAUGGAUAUCUCAGGACAACUCAAGAACCUGGCCUGGAUGGAGGGAGCCCAGAAGUGGGUGCUCUUCUAUUCUCUGCCCAAACAGCAGUGUGAUGUCUACAAUCUCUGCGGUCCUUUUGGCAGCUGCAGCCCGGGAAGCUUCCCGUUCUGCAGCUGUGUGAAGGGCUUCAGUGAAGCUUCUCCUAGCAAUUGGAAUUUGGGCGAUCAGAGUCAGGGUUGUGUGAGAAACACUCCAUUGCAGUGCAGUACUAAGAGCUCGGGUCAUGGGGAUAAAGAUAAGUUCUGUAUGAUGCCUGGUAUGCGAUUGCCUGUUAAUAACCAUUCUGUAGCAGUUGCUAGUAGCGAAGAUUGUGGAAUAGCAUGCUUGAAGAAUUGCUCCUGUACUGCUUAUUCUUAUAGUAAUGGAUGCACUGUAUGGUAUGGAGACUUGCUUAACUUACAGCAGCAGCCGGACGGAUCGGCCGGGGAGACCCUUUACCUCCGUCUAGCUGCUUCGGAGCUGCCAAAUUCCAAAUCAAGGAAGCGACGGUUUGUUGGAGUUGAGGUGGGCGUGGCGGUCGGCGUGUUGGCUUUAUUUGCAACUGCUUUCAUUCUGAUUUCAGGACAUCAACGGAGACGAACGAUUGCUACUACAAAAGCCAUGGAGAAUAAUUUGGUGUUGUUCAAGUAUGGUGACUUGCGGCGAAUGACCAAAAACUUUUCAGAGAAAUUAGGGGGCGGAGGUUUCGGUUCCGUCUUCAAAGGGCUGCUACCUGACUCGACUGUCAUUGCUGCAAAGAAGCUUGAAGGUCUUCAUCAAGGGGAGAAGCAAUUCCGAACCGAGGUGGGCACUAUCGGAAAAAUUCAGCAUGUUAACUUGGUUCGCCUUCGUGGAUUCUGCUCUGAAGGGACUAAAAGGUUGCUGGUUUAUGAUUAUAUGCCAAAUGGUUCUCUAGACACUAAGCUAUUUCGAAGCAAUUCCAUGGUUUUGGAUUGGAAAACAAGGUACCAGAUUGCCCUUGGAGCCGCUAGAGGAUUAGCUUAUCUCCAUGAGAAAUGCAGGGAAUGCAUCAUACAUUGUGACAUCAAACCAGAGAAUAUACUCCUGGAUGCCUCAUUUGUCCCAAAACUGGCAGAUUUCGGUCUUGCAAAGCUUGUUGGCCGCGACUUUAGUAGAGUUCUGACGACAAUGAGGGGAACCAGAGGCUAUCUUGCACCAGAAUGGAUCUUCGGGUUGCCUAUCACUUCCAAAGCUGAUGUUUAUAGCUACGGGAUGAUGCUUUUAGAGAUCAUAUCCGGCAGGAGAAAUGCAGAGCAAUCAGAAGAAGGAAAGAAGGCCUUUUUCCCGGUGUUAGCUGUUAAUAAAGUUACAGAAGGAGAUGUUCUUAGCUUGCUGGAUCACAAGCUGAAUGGUGAUGCUGACUUGGAAGAGCUUGAUCGAGUCUGCAAGGUUGCUUGUUGGUGCAUUCAGGAUAACGAGUUUCACCGGCCAUCAAUGGGGCAAGUUGUUCAAAUUCUAGAGUGUGCCAUCGAAGUUAACAUGCCUCCUGUUCCAUGGUCACUUCAUGUUCUUGCGGAGAACUCGGAGAGCCUGGUCUUCUACUCGCACUUGUCUUCAGGUCAAAGUUCCCAAAUUAACGUCAACCGAAACUAACGUCUUCAGCAUUCUAAGGGAUAAGAAAUUGGAGAUAUUUCAUUUUCCCAUGUUUGAGUUUGAAUGAGUCUGUAUUUUGUUAGUCAACAUCCAUGUAUAAGAGGUUCAAGGUGCAUGCUAGUUUUGGUUUCUCUGACAUACUUAGGACUUCAAUGUGCUUGAAUUCUGUGCUAAUGAUAAAAAUAAAAGGAUCUCUUUUUGAAGAGAAGACUAGAUUAGGAAAAGUUAUACUCCAAAGACAAGCUUAUAUAUGAUUCUCAAGUUUUAUCUCAGUUGAAUGAAGUUUCUAUUUUGUCUCAAAGAAUGAAUGCCCAUAGUGUUGUAAAAUUUAAUAAAGAAUACGCACCCAAGCAAAGUUCUUCUUCAUGUAAGUAAGAAAAUAGUAGAGUUGCAUGAAUAUGCAUUGCUCGUCAAGUGUUUAAAAUUUUAUAUGUUUCGAGCUCUUCUUAAAAAAUACUGGUACACGGACGAUAACACCAUUUGAUUCUUCGUGUAAGUUCAUUUGGACAAUUGCCAAAAAAUUCGUCAAAUGUUACAUAAUAUUUUUAAUUCCAGUAAAUCUAUUAUGGCUGGUAGGCUAUCUAAUUUAAUCCACAAAUCUUAUUUACCUAUUGUUUUAUUAGAUUAGAACUUUUGACCACAUCUAAACCUUAGAACUUUAGCCUCUUGUAAGCCCAAAACUUUUUGACUAGACCAUGUCUAAACUUAGAAUUUUUAAAUAUACGUUGAUUCUUGCCAGCUUAAAAUUUUAGACUACUCGUGGACUUCGACUGGGUAAACUCAUCCUCAAAUCUGUGAAGUAGAAACUGAAAAACCACUAGAUUCCAAGACAGUACAGAUAAAUUAAAUUAUAUUUAUCGGGUGAAACUUGGACAGUGUAAAACUUAUAUAUUGAUUGUGUUGUCGCAGCAGAGGUUUAAGAAUAAGCAAGUAAACGAAUUUGACUUGGAAUCUAUGACUGUACCUUGACUCCAUUUUUAGACUAAAACCAACACUGGGUAAAGUCAUCUUCAAAUUUAUGGAUUAGGAACUUAUAAACCUCUAGAAUGCUGGAAGAUAUGAUAAUACUAUAAGAUAGGAGCUCCAUUCUGGAGGAUGACAUCCUACGGCAAGAUAGAAUCUCCAUCCUAUGUAUAAUUCAUCCACUUUUAUAGAAAGAAAGAGUUAUAAUGAUCGUAACAUUACUUUCAUAUAGAUAUAAUUAACACUAAGUAAGAUUUAAGGCCAUUCAACAUGCCCAUUCCACAAUCUAAGUUGCUCAAAAUUUCUUCAUGAUGAAUCUAGUAGCUUUAAAAAAUUUAAAUAUUUGAACAGACAUGGUUGAAAUAAUUUUUAAUUUAAUUUUAGAAAAGAUUUAAAUUUUUAACAUUACAUUUUGAAUAAUUCUAUAUUGUAUAAUUAAAUGCAAGAAGACAUGCAUUUAAUGAACUUCAAGAGUUUAAGGCUUAGUCGGGCAGUGUGGAUUUUGGGCUGAUGUCGGCAUGUACGCUCGCCUUACUUGGCUGGCUGUGCCGUGGCGUGGAAUGGUGCAUGCACAUGCAUUAUGGAAGCGUGUGCGGCUAACAUUUUUGAACACACUCCUCUUAAAUUUAAAUAUCAAAAUUUGAAGAUGCAAGCCAUAGUAGAAGUUCGAACAAACAAGUGCAUAACUUGAAAUUUGAUCAUACCUUAACUCUUGUUAGCUUAGAAUUUUAGGUUAAGACUUCCAUUAGGUAAAAAAUACCUCUAGGACCAGAUAAAUCAGAUCACAUAAAAGUGGUAAAAUCUGCUAACCUACAAAUGUCAGCCAUGCAAGGGAGGGUGCUCAAUCAUGCAUGGAGCAUUAUCCAAAAAAUGUUCAGCAGGCCCCUCCUCUACCACUAGAUCACUUGGCAUAAUACCAAUGGAAGUACCAUCCUGUGCAUAAUUCAUCCACCUUUUCCAGGCCAAAGAACAUUAAUAGAUCGAAACAUUGCAUCAUUUCCGCAGAAAAGAUUAAAGUAUCACCUGGACACCAAUUAGAUAAAUUUGAGUUGGACAAAUUAUUGAUAAACUCUUGAAUAGUUUGUCACGCCCCAAGCCCGGAGUGCGACAGAUACCGCACGCCAACACGGCGGAUCGUACAGGCAUGCAAGGCUACAAAUAUCAAAACAAUGACAAAUUUCUGAAUUUUCUUUUUCUUUAAUCAAUAAUUUGUCUCAAAGCAAUCUUCCAAAGUUUCAAAAUAAUAUAUGACAACAUAAAUCAAUUACUCUAACCAGUCUAACUAAAAUACCAAUAAUCGUAUAAAAUCUCCAGAAUCUAGCGCACUCUCUAAUCCCGUGUGAUCAUGUCUCUGGAUCUGAAAAUUAGAGAAAAUAAGAUAAUGAGCUAUACUAUCCUAGUAAGCAACAUAAUACCCUAGAGUCGGGUCAAAGCAUAUCAGAUGAUUAAUCAAAACACAAAAUAGUGACUGAAAAUUAAAUCACAAAUAAGCAUAUUUUUUCUUUUGAAAUUUAUUAAGAAUUUUCAUAAAAACUCUGAUACUGAAAUCUUAACAUAAAUCGGCUAAGGCCACGUAACCUAGUGGCAUGGUUUGUACAAAGUGCCAAAUCUACUAUUAUUAACCAUCGGUGGCAACAAUAUCUAAAUUCACUAUUAUUAAUUACCGGUGGCAAUGGUGUCCAAAUCCGCUAUUCUAAUCACCGGUGGCGCGAUAUCGAAAUUAGUUUCUCACAGAUACAAGUCGACAGGGCCAACGAAUAAUCUCCACUGGCGGGCCAGAACAGAACAUAGCCAUGCUGAGAAUACAUACAUGUAUACAAAAUAAAUUUUUUAUAAUUUGUCCAGUCAACAUUUUACAGACUUCAUAGUAUAAAACAUAAUUUUCAAAUGAUAUUUAACAUGUCUGACACAUUUUACUAAGUACAAAACAUAUCUCAUAAUUUAAUUAACUAAUAAUUAUUUUACUAAAUAAUUUGGAGCAUUAAGUUACUUACCUCUUUCACUUUAAAUCCCACUUCAUGCAAACAUGUCAGAUACGCCUGUUUAAUAUCAUUAAAAUAUUAUUAAUUUUAACAUAAUUUUAGAAGUUAAAAUUAAAUACUACGGUCUCAUGCCUCCAAAUCAGUUUUGUUGCCCAGUAGAUACAACCCAAGAGGAGGGGGUGAAUUGGGUCUUUUAAAACUUUUCAACUAUUUCUAAACUUUUCAAUUAAUUAAGCUAAGUUGUAUAGAUGCACAGUAAAAUUUAAACUUAGCAAUAGUUUGAUUCUAAUCUGAUCAAGAUUAAAACUAAACAACGGACUCAAUAAACAAUUAGUCUAGAUUUUCCCAAGCAAACACUUCAAUAUAAUGAAUCUUAAUGCAGUUUUAUUAAAUGAAACUUGAUUAAACAAUUUGAAUAUACUUGCAACUAAAUGAUGCGCGGAUAAGAGUUAAACAAGCAAUUCAAUUAGAUAUUUAUCUAAAUAAGUAAGUGAGGAAAUUAAACAAUGACAGAAAGCAUCACAAACACAACAAACGUGUAGUGGUUCGGUGCACCCCAGCACCUACAUCCACUCCCCAAGAUCUCUUGAAAAUUUUAUUAUAAUCCCUCAGAUUACAGCCGGUUGUUUUACAAGCUCACAACCUAACUUGUUGUUUUAACGAGAUCACAACGAACUCGGCGGUUUUCACAGGCUCACCGACUAGAACCACUCGAUUGUUUUUCCGGGUUCACAAUCAAACCCAAUUGGUUUUUUCCGGUUCACCAACCACAACCUUAUACCGUUGGUUUUCCCUUUGGCUCACCAACAAACUUUAAUCCCUUGAUUGAAUCAAGUUACAAGAUAUUAGAACAAGAGUUUAAAACAAAUACAAGCUUCUUAAACAAGCAGAUAUAACAAUGUAAACAAAUAGAGUAAAGAGAAGAAGCCCUCAACCAAGUUUUGCAAAUGAAGGAACUCGGCUUCUUUACUUGACCCUCUUCUGAUUUCGCAUGAGGUAGAGGAUCACUGAGGCUGCACACAGUUGGAGAGGAAGCCUUGGGAUUCACUCGGAUGCUAUUCUUCUCUCUCUUUUGCUUUGAAUGGCCCUUUUGUGCUUUUGGGAGGUUUCUCUUGAAAUCUCUUUGAAAUCUCUUUCCUAUGUGUUCUCUCCCACUUCCUUAACUUCUUCCCUAGCUCUUUCCUUGAUUUUAUAACUUUGGAUGGCGUGGGAACAAAGAUCUAGCCGUUAGAGACAAAAAUAGCCGUUGGAGUUGAGAAAAAACUAGCCGUUAUGUCUCCCAGCGUGCUCGAGUCGACUCGACUGAAGCAGGAGUCGACUCGGCUAAAACAGGAGUCGACUUGUGAAUAGGAGUCUGCCGGCACUGUAGCUGGGAGUCGACUCGACUGUAGCUGGAGUCGACUCGAGCACUGUAGCGCUGAAAAUCAACUCUCUGUCUUUUUGUCUGUUCUCAGUCGGAGUCGACUCGCAGAGGUCCGGAGUCGACUCGAGCACUGUUCCUUGAAAAUCCAGAGUGCCAGAAUCGACUCUGAAUUUUCAAGAGUCGACUCGAGGACUAUUCUUUUGAAUCUUUCUUUGAAUUUGCUCCUCCAACUUGAAUCCUUUGAACUUGAAACUUGGGCCAAUGAAGUAUAGCUUUCUUUCAACUUUUUGAGAGCUUUUGAGGUCUUCUUCUAUUCUUCCAACUUGUUAUGUUCCUUGCAAAAUAAAUAUCUUUCUUCUUGCAACACAAACAUUAGUAAUUAUACUUCAAGGUUUUGUGAUUAUCAAAAUCAAUUUUUGGGUCAGCAAUCUCCCCCUUUUUGAUGAUGACAAAACUUGGAGUAUAUGCAAUAUAAAAUAGAUUGUGUUCUAGAACUAAUUGUUGCCCAAGGUGACAAGCCAAGAGGGGGGAGGUGAAUUGGUUUCUCUUAAUUUUAACUAUCUUACUUAUGUUAAUUGAUGAGUUAGUGGAAUUAAACAAAUCACAAUACAAACAACAAGAAGUAUAGUGGUUCGGUGCUCUCCUAAGCACCUACGUCCACUCCCCAAGCGAUCCCUUGGGAAUUCACUAUAAUCCCGCGGAUUACAGUUGGAUUGUUUUUCGGGCUCACAAUCCAAAAACCUUUACACUUUGGUUUUCUGGGUUUACCAAAAAUCUAUGUUGGUUUUACGGGCUCACCAACGAACCUAUGUUGGUUUCCGGGCUCACCAACGAACCUUUACAAUUGGUUUUACGGGUUCACCAAUCAACCUAUACCGUUGGUUUUGCGGGCUUACCAACUAACCUUUACAAUGAGUUUAAUAAACAAAGUAAGAAGAUUUAAGCUCCUAGAUGAGCAAAUAUAACAAUAUAAUCUACAAAGAAGAGUUUAGAGAAUAGUUAUCGCUUGAUGUGACUUCUCUCUUCUUUGUCAAGGAUGCUUCACUCUUCAAGGAUGGAUGGAGCUCUUAAUGACUCUUGGAAUCUGCUCAACACUUUCUUUUGACUCUUGAAUGAAGCACUUGGAUGAAGAAGAUUAGGGCACUUUGUCUUUCUUGUGUACUCUUUGAUAUUUUGCAAAAACAUGUUCUCUCUAAUGAAUAGUGCCACUUUAAAUAGUUUCCUUCAUCUAUUGGACAAGCCCCAAUGGNNNNNNNNNNNNNNNNNNNNNNNNNNNNNNNNNNNNNNNNNNNNNNNNNNNNNNNNAGAACUAGCCGUUAUGCUUCUGCCCGUGCUUGGGUCGGCUCAACCUGUCCUUGGGUCGACCCAACUUUCACUUGGGUCGACUCAACCAUUUCUUGGUUCGACCAUCUCAGAACCACAGAAACUUGCAAUUCAGCCUUCCUUCACUUGGGUCGACUCAACAUUUCUUUGGGUCGACUCAAGGUUCAGUUGGGUCGACUCAACUUUCACUUGGGUCGACCCUCUCAGGGUUUCCAGAGAACCUAUUCUGUCAAUGUAUUCUGUCACUGCCUUUGGGUCGACCCUCUCAGUGUUUGGGUCGACUCAAACUUGGGUGGACUCAACUUCCUCUUGGGUCGACCCUCUCAGUGGUUCCAGAGAACUGUUUUCUUGAGUCUUUGAGAGGCUUGAGGUUUGGGUCGACUCAUGCUUUCCUUGGGUCGACCCAACUACUGUUCAUCCGUGCCAUUUUUGCAGAAGUGUUCCAGAUGCUUUCUUUAUGUACCGGGGUCGACCCAAUCAACCUCGGGGUCGACUCAAUCCACACUUUGCUGCAACUCAAGAUUAGAUUCAUCCAUAUAAACAAUGAAAUGCAUCUUUAUGUUAUUAUACGAAUAUAAUGAGAGUAACAGACUUAUAAAUGAAGUAUCGAAUUAACUUGUAACAUACUCUUGAUUAUUGCUUGUUAAUCAUCAAAAUAACACUAUCAUCCUCACUAAUGCAUAACUAAGUUGCAUGAAGUAGAAAACAUGCAUAUUUAAAACAUACUUCAUGAUAAUACUUUAGAAUUAAUCAGCUUAACACAAUCAACAUAUUUCAAUCUAAGCUGAUUUGUAUUCAAUUCAAAACAUAAAGCAUUAUGAGCAUAUACUCAUACUCAAAUAUUUCUCUCCCUUUUUGACAACAUCAAUAAGGUUGCAAAGUAAUGAAACAUUAAGCACAAAGCAGCAAAUGAUACUCAAAAUAUUCCUUUUUCUUAGUGUACUCUGAUUUUCAGUCAAUGCAGGUUGAAUUAUUGCAAGAAUAUGAAUCAUAUAACUCAAGGCAAUAAUGUCAUAAUAAGAUUAAUGAGCAUAGAUCAAAGCCAAUUAAGAUGAUUUCAGAGCAAAUUAUAAUGAGAGCAUAUUGAAUGUGAUUCCAAAGAUAGUUUUCAAAUCAAGUGUAGGUGAAAUCUUUUUCAAGUUAAUUCAAGGAGUAUCAAGAUUGAUAUUCAAAGAGGGCACGAAUGGAAAUCUAGCCCCUUUUUUUUUGAAAGAUCUUUAAUAACAAGUAUGAAAGCUUGUUUAUUUAAGAUCUUUUGCCCAAUAUAUUAAGUAUUUAGCAACAUGAGAGCAAUUUAAUUAAUUUUCAGAGUAUAAGAUCAAAACUUUAAAAAAAAAUAUAACAUCAUGUUGGAUCAUUAAUUCUUAAUAACUUUAAAGUUCUUAUAUGAUAAUAAAAGCAUUCGGGCACAAAUACCAAAAUAUGAAUUCAUGCAAUUUAUGAUAUAUCUUAGAGCAUACAUAAAAUUCAAAGCUUUGAAAGUUCUUUUAAAGCUCUUUUAAAGACUUUCUUUUAUUUCUUUAAAAAGAAGCACAUUUUGAUACAUAUAAAAAUGAAUUGGCACAAAAUUGAAGUUCUAAAGAGCAAGCCAAUAAGAACUCAUUAGUGAAUUCCAAAAUAGAUUUUCUAAUAAAGACAAAUGAAAUUCGUAUUCAAAUAAUUUUCAGAACAGCUGAUUUGCUGAUUAGGUGCAUUUUAAAAUCUAUAGAUCUAUCAUGUAGCAGCUACUUUUAAAUUUGUGUUCACAAGAGAUACUCAAGAAAAUUCAACACAUUAUUCUUUUCUUUUUUUAUUAAACUAGAGGCUCUUAAGAUCAACUGUUUGAAUUACAAUUUGGUUCAUGAUUGAUGCAUAAAAUAUAUUAACCAAAUAGUAAGCCUCAAGUGUAUUACAGAGAUUUUCAUAUUUAAAUUUCAGAUAUUUAUAUAAUGAAGAGUAUUAGGAUCACUUCUCAUUUAGUAUUCUUUCUCUCUCCUUUAGUUAUAGAUUUAUGCAAUUAAGUUCCAUAUGAUCUCUCCUCCUAAAACAACCUUUGUAGAACUCAACUCAAGGCAAGCAAUGGCAACACAAAAAGGUUCAUCAAAAUCAAUCCAUAAAACAUUCAAGGAAUGCAUUAAGUGAAAGUGACUUUUGAAUAAGAUACAUAAUGCAUUUAGAUUAAAUAUCUAAAGCUCCCCCUCAAAAGAUGCUUGCAUCUUCUAUAAUCAUUCUUUUCUUUUUCUAUGAUAUCAAGAAUGUAGAGUGAUCUAGAAUUAUUCAAAAUUUGUAGCAAUCACUCUUUUUAAUCUUUCAAGAACAAGUUAUGCUUCCUCUUAAUCUUUGAGAAAAAUGUUCUGAAAUAUUAAUCAAAAAAUAAUUCAUUUGAAACUCAUUUUCUUUCAAAAGCAAUUACAUUUUCUUUCUUUUAAGAGUCAUUUGAGUGAGCUGAAAUGUUUCUACCUUGAAGAUCAUUCACUCUUUUAAAGAUAGCUUUUUCUUUUAGUGAUAGAAGCAACAAUCAUGCAGAAAGGGAUAUAGAAGAUCAUUCAAGUGAAUGUUUAUAGAAUUCAAUUUCUUACUCAUAGAUUUACAGCAAUGUAUACAUGAAAUACAAUGAAUCUUUUUAAUAUCAAAAUAAAGUUAUAUUGUAAUAACCCCAAAUUUUUUUUUANNNNNNNNNNNNNNNNNNNNNNNNNNNNNNNNNNNNNNNNNNNNNNNNNNNNNNNNNNNNNNNNNNNNNNNNNNNNNNNNNNNNNNNNNNNNNNNNNNNNNNNNNNNNNNNNNNNNNNNNNNNNNNNNNNNNNNNNNNNNNNNNNNNNNNNNNNNNNNNNNNNNNNNNNNNNNNNNNNNNNGUUGGAAUGAAACCGAGAGAGAGAAGGAAGGGGGGAAAUCUCAGGCGGUGGAAACACAGAGAGAAAAGAAAGAAGAAAAAAGAAGAAGAAGAAGAAGAAAGAGGGAGGGGAUUCGAGGUGCAAGGAAGCUCCGGUUGCGCUGCCAGCUGAAGGAAAAAGUGUAGAUCUCCUUCCCUUCUACGCAAGAACCCAAGUUUCACUAGAAGAAAAAGGUAAAUACCCGUCCCUACCUAGCAUUCUAAAGAAUUUAUGCUAUAGAAAGGGUAGAUGAUAGUUGUAAAGGGUGUUAAAAAGGGAAGAAUCGGAUUUCGACAAAUUUUUCCGGCACUACGGAAAAAUUGUGUCAAAGUCCCAACUUUGGUGAAUUAUUUAGGAGGUCAAACAGCCUCCGAUAGUGAUGCAUGUUACCUUUUUGGAAUUCCCUAUGAGUGUAGAAUGUUAGGUAAAAAUUUCAUCAAAUUUGGAGUCUGGAAAGUGGAUCAAACCCGGGAUGAAGUAACCGGCUGUCGGUCCGAGUUACUGUUCAUUCGGGUGGAAAAUAAGGAAUUUCAUGCUAUAAUAGAGUAUUAAGCCUAGAUCAAGCUAAAAAGGACCUUGUACUCAUGCAAGGGAAUCCCUAGUAUACAUAAAUGAUGAGUUAAUUAAUAGAAAAAGAAAAAAAGAAAGAAAAGAAAAGAUUUAGGGAAUGAGGGAGUUGAAUCAAUUAAAGUUCCCUAUAUUAUAAUUAGCACGUAGAUUAUAGCCCUUGAUACAGGACUAAAUGUAUUAUAAAUGCAUGUCACAAUUGGGCAAGAAGUUAGGGAGCAAGAAGAAGAAGCCCCUACUGCCUACCAUAAAGUUUUGGAGGCGUAUCAGGGCUGUGCCAGAUUGACAGGUGAGUGGGAGUCAUGUACUUUGCACCAUGAGCACAUUCCUUAUUCAUUUUCAUGAAUGUUGCCAAGUGUGACUUGAUUCCACCUGAGCUUAUUGAUUAAUUGUUGUAGUAGAUUCCUUCAUAAUCUUGAUUCUCUAUGCUUGAUUAUUCUGUACAUGCAUUUGAGGAGACAUUGAGAGGAAUUACGAGGGGUUGAUAAGUAAUCAAAUUGAUUCCGAAUUGUGAAAUGAUUUCUUUUGUAAAUUGAUUUCAUUUCCUCUAUUUCAAAGACUUAUGAGUGGUAGCCUUGAUUAUACUCUUUUAUGAGUAGUUAAAUUGGAUCUGAAUUGUGAAAUGAUUUCUUUUGUAAAUUGAUUUCAUUUCCUAUAUUUCAAAGACUUGUAAGUGGUAGCCUUGAUUAUACUCCUUUAUGAAUAAUUAAAUUGCAUCUGAAUUGUGAAAUGACUUCUUUUGUAAAUUGAUUUCAUUUCCUCUAUUUCAAAGAUUUGUAGAGCCCAUUUCAGUGGUAUAUUGAGUUGCAUUGCACACCCUUGACCCCUCACUCCCAACCCUGAUGUUAGUU
rnacentral:lncRNA from 1 species